UUUUUUUGUGUUUUUUGUGUUUAAUUAGUGUUUGUGCCAAGUAGAACCGUUGGGAAGACUUGAGGAAAGUCUUGAUAUCUUGCUGUAAAAAACAGAAACUUUAGCGCUCACGAGAACUGCUGCCAUUUUUAUUAGGAAAGUGCUAUUUAGUUAAUUAUUUUUGCAGAUGAUUAACAUAUAAAUUCCUCACGUCCAUAAAUUUAUUUUAGAAUUUUUGGGGUUCCAGAUCUUGCGCUAGCUACAAAUUACUACAGACUGUUCUGUUUUUGACAGAUUCUGUUUUUCGUGUGUUGUUUGCUUAUUUUGAUGAAUCUAUGGCUAGUAAAAUAGUUUAUAAACCAUCGAGAAGUUGGAAUACAGUAGGUUUAACACCAAUAUAAAUAAAUAAUGAGUUCAUUACAGUACCUUGAAGUGGUCUUUUGUUUUCUUUCGCUAACGGAGCUCACGAGAUUUUCUACUUUAAGUUUUGUGUUGUGAAGUUUUCAAGUUUUGGGUAAAGAUUUGAUGGAUUAUGGAACAAGGAUUUGCAAGAGCCUAAGAUUGGGGAUGCCCAUGGAACCCCCAAGAUAAUAUAAGGGCACCUAAAAUCCAAAGCUUGGGGAUGCCCCAAAAGGCAUCCCGUCUUUCGUCUACUUCUAUCGGUAACUUUACUUGGAGCUAUAUUUUUAUUCACCACAUGAUAUGUGUUUUCCUUGGAGCGUCUUGUAUGAGUUGAGUCUUUGAUUUUUAGUUUACCACAAUCAUCCUUGCUGUAAACACCUUUUGAGAGAGCCAUACUUGAUUUGGAAUUUGUUAGAAUACUCUAUGUGCUUCGCUUAUAUCAUUUGAGUUAUAUAGUUUUGCUCUAGUACUUCACUUAUAUCUUUUAGAGCACGGUGGUGGAUUUGUUUUAUAGAAACUAUUUAUCUCUCAUGCUUCACUUAGAUUAUUUUGAGAGUCUUAAAUAGCAUGGUAAUUUUCUUAAUAAUCCUAAUAUGUUUGGUAUUCAAGAAUAGUAAAAACUUUCUUAUGAGUGUGUUGAAUGCUAUGAGAAGUUUGAUGCUUGAUAAUUGUUUUGAGAUAUGAAUAUGGUGAUAUUAAAGUUGUUCUAGUUGAGUAGUUGUGAAUUUGAGAAAUACUUGUGUUAAAGUUUGUGAUUCCCAUAGCAUGGACGUAUGGUGAACCGUUAUGUGAUGAAGUCGGAGCAUGAUUUAUUUUUUGAUUGUCUUCCUUAUGAGUGGCGGCCAGGGACGAGCGAUGGUAUUUUCCUACCAAUCUAUCCCCCUAGGAGCAUGCGCGUAAUACUUUGCUUUGAUAACUUGUAGAUUUUUGCAAUAAGUAUAUGAGUUCUUUAUGACUAAUGUUGAGUCCAUGGAUUAUACGCACUUUUCUUCCUUCCACCAUUGCUAGCCUCUCUAAUACCGCGCACUUUUCGCCGGUAUCAUACACCCACCAUAUACCUUCCUCAAAACAGCCACCAUACCUACCUAUUAUGUCAUUUCCAUAGCCAUUCCGAGAUAUAUUGCCAUGCAACUUUCCACCGUUCCUUUUAUUAUGACACACCCCAUCAUUGUCAUAUUGCUUAGCAUGAUCAUGUAGUUGACAUCAUAUUUGUGGCAAAGCCACCAUUCAUAAUUCUUUCAUACAUGUCACUCUUGAUUCAUUGCAUAUCCCGGUACACCGCCGGAGGCAUUCAUAUAGAGUCAUAUUUUGUUCUAAGUAUCGAGUUGUAAUUGUUGAGUUGUAAGAAAAUAAAAGUGUGAUGAUCAUCAUUAUUAGAGCAUUGUCCCAGUGAGGAAAGAAUGAUGGAGACUAUGAUUCCCCCACAAGUCAGGAUGAGACUCCGGACGAAAAAAAUAAAAAAAAAGGAAGAAAAGAUGCCAUAAAAAAAGAUAAAAGGCCCAAAUAAAAAAAUGAGAGAAAAAGAGAGAAGGGACAAUGUUAGUAUCCUUUACCACACUUGUGAUUCAAAGUAGCACCAUGAUAUGCAUGAUAGAGAGUCUCCUAUGUUAUCACUUUUAUAUACUAGUGGGAAUUUUUCAUUAUAGAACUUGGCUUGUAUAUUCCAAUGAUGGGCUUCCACAAAAUGCCCUAGGUCUUCAUGAGCAAGCAAGUUGGAUGCACACCCACUUAGUUUUUUUUAUUGAGCUUUCAUAUACUUAUAGCUCUAGUGCAUCCAUUACAUGGCAAUCCCUACUCACUCACAUUGCUAUCUAUUGAUGGGCAUCUCCAUAGCCCAUUGAUACGCCUAGUUGAUGUGAGACUAUCUUCUCCCUUUUUGUCUUCUCCACAACCACCAUUCUAUUCCACAUAUAGUGCUAUAUCCAUGGCUCACGCUCAUGUAUUGCGUGAAGAUUGAAAAGGUUUGAAAAUGUCAAAAGUAUGAAACAAUUGCUUGGCUUGUCAUCGGGGUUGUGCAUGAUUAAAUACUUUGUGUGAUGAAGAUAGAGCAUAGCCAUACUAUAUGAUUUUGUAGGGAUAACUUUCUUUCGCCAUGUUAUUUUGAGAAGACAUAAUUGCUUACUUAGUAUACUUGAAGUAUUAUUAUUAUUAGAGAGAAGUACAUAUUUCAACCCCGAACUCUUUCCCUAGUCUAAUUUACAACCCCGAACUUCAAUACCGUCUAAAUUACAACCCCCAACUCUCAAAACUGGUCAGGAUUCAACCCUUCACUACCUCUUGACCGGUUUGACCAAGUUGACCGGUUUUGACCCAUUGACUAGGUGAACAGUAAAUUAAAAAAAUCUAUUUCUUAUUUUUUCACAUGGUGAAUAGUAUUUUUUUAAGUUACAAUUUUUUAGCUUGUUUGGACAUUUGAGUAGCUCUCAGAAAAAAGACAAAUGUGGAGUCUGUGAAACAGUUAACUGUCGUGCACUGUUCGGGCUGAUUUUGUUUUUUUGGCUGAGAGCUACUUAGAUGUUCGAACACAAUGAAAAUUGGCAAGGACCUCACACAUUGAUACAUCUUCCAUGCAAAAAAUAUUCUUUUUUUAAAAAAAAUUUGUUUUUUGAAUUUACUGUUCAGACGAUGAAAAAAUCAAAAUUAUUUUUUGAAUUUUUUUACUUUUUAAAAUUUACUAUUCACCUUGUGAAAAAAAUAAAUUAUUUGUGAUUUUUAUAUUUUUUAUUUUUUAAAAUGUACUGUUGACUAGUCAACGGGUCAAAACCCGGUCAACUAGGUCAAAACCGGUCAACAGGGAGAGAAGGGUUGAAUUCUGACCGGUUUUAAGAGUUGGGGGUUGUAAUUUAGAUGGUAUUCGAGUUCGGGGUUGUAAAUUAGACAAGGGCAAGAGUUCGGGGUUGAAAUAUGCAUUUCUCUCUUAUUUUUAUGUCAAUAUGAACUUUUGUCUUGAAUCUUUCGGAUUUGGAUAUUCAUACUACAAUGAAGAAGAAUUACAUUAAAAUUAUGCCAAGUAGCACUCCGCAUCAAAAAUUUUGUUUUUAUCAUUUACCUACUCGAGGAUGAGCAGGAAUUAAGCUUGGGGAUGCUUGAUACGUCUCCAACAUAUCUAUAAUUUUUGAUUGCUUCAUGCUAUAUUAUCUACUGUUUUGGACAUUAUUGGGCUUUAUUAUCCACUUUUAUAUUAUUUUUGGGACUAACCUAUUAACCGGAGGCCUAGCCCAGAAUUGUUGUUUUUUGCCUAUUUUAGGGUUUCGAAGAAAAGGAAUAUCAAACGGAGUCCAAACGGAAUGAAACCUUCGGGAACGUGAUUUUCUCAAUGAACAAGACCCAGGAGACUUGGACCCUACAUCAAGCAACCAACAGGGAGGCCACGAGGUAGGGGGCGCGCCAACCCCCCUCCCCCGGGAACGCCCUCCACCAUCAUGGGCCCCUUGUUGCUCCACCGACAUACUCCUUCCUCCUAUAUAUACCUACGUACCCCCAAACGAUCAGAUACGGAGCCAAAACCCUAAUUCCACCGCCGUAAUUUUCUGUAUCCAUGAGAUCCCAUCUUGGGGCCUAUUCCGGAACUCCGCUGGAGGGGGUAUCCAUCAUGGAGGGCUUCUACAUCAACACCAUAGCCUCUCCGAUGAAGUGUGAGUAGUUUACCUUAGACCUUCGGGUCCAUAGUUAUUAGCUAGAUGGCUUCUUCUCUCUUUUUGGAUAUCAAUACAAUGUUCUCCCCCUCUCUUGUGGAGAUCUAUUCGAUGUAAUCUUCUUUUUGCGGUGUGUUUGUUGAGACCGAUGAAUUGUGGGUUUAUGAUCAAGACUAUCUAUGAACAAUAUUUGAAUCUUCUCUGAAUUCUUUUAUGUAUGAUUGGUUAUCUUUGCAAGUCUCUUCGAAUUAUCAGUUUGGUUUGGCCUACUAGAUUGAUCUUUCUUGCAAUGGGAGAAGUGCUUAGCUUUGGGUUCAAUCUUGCGGUGUCCUUUCCCAGUGACAGUAGGGGCAGCAAGGCACGUAUUGUAUUGUUGCCAUCGAGGAUAACAAGAUGGGGUUUUUAUCAUAUUGCAUGAAUUUAUCCCUCUACAUCAUGUCAUCUUGCUUAAGGCGUUACUCUGUUUUCUUGAACUUAAUACUCUAGAUGCAUGCUGGAUAGCGGUCGAUGAGUGGAGUAAUAGUAGUAGAUGCAGGCAGGAGUCAGUCUACUUGUCUUGGACGUGAUGCCUAUAUACAUGAUCAUACCUAGAUAUUCUCAUAACUAUGCUCAAUUCUGUCAAUUUCUCAACAGUAAUUCGUUCACCCACCGUAAAAUACUUAUGCUCUUGAGAGAAGCCACUAGUGAAACAUAUGGCCCUCGGGUCUAUCUUCAUCAUAUUAAUCUUCCAAUACUUAGUUAUUUCCUUUGCUUUUAUUUUACUUUGCAUCUUUAUCACAAAAAUACCAAAAAUAUAUUAUCUUAUCAUAUCUAUCAGAUCUCACUCUCGUAAGUGACCGUGAAGGGAUUGACAACCCCUUAUCGCGUUGGUUGCGAUGAGUUAUUUGUUUUGUGCAGGUACUAGGGACUUCGCGCAUGACCUCCUACUAGAUUGAUACCUUGGUUCUCAAAAACUAAGGGAAAUACUUACGCUACUUUGUUGCAUCAUCCUUUCCUCUUCAAGGAAAUCCAACACAGUGCUCAAGAGGUAGCAGGAAGCGCCAUAUAAUUGCUUUACUCUAUCGCUAUGCGAUAGCAAUAGUUGCAAAAGCAAUAGUUGGCGAGACAACCAUGUGACGACAUGUUGAUAGAGAUCAAGAUGAUGGAGAUCAUGGUGUCAUGCUGGUGACGAUGGAGAUCAUGACGGUACUUUGGAGAUGGAGAUCAAAGGCAGAAGAUGAUGAUGGCCAUAUCAUGUCACAUAUUUUGAUUGCAUGUGAUGUUUAUCUUUUCUGCAUCUUAUUUUUCUUAGUACGAUGGUAGCAUUAUAAGAUGAUCCCUCACUAAAUUUCAAGGUAUAAGUGUUCUCCCUAAGUAUGCACCAUUCCGACAGUUCGUCGUGCCAAGACACCACGUGAUGAUCGGGUGCGAUAAGCUCUACGUUCACAUACAACGGGUGCAAGCCAGUUUUGCACACGCAGAAUACUCGGGUUAAGCAUGACGAGCCUAGCAUAUGAAGAUAUGGCCUCGGAACACUAAGACCGAAAGGUCGAACGUGAAUCAUAUAGUAGAUAUGAUCAACAUAGUGAUGUUCACCAUUGAAGGUUCGGUGACGCUAGGGUUAUAGAGAUAUUAGCAUACGGUAACCCGAAAGUUGUUCGGAGUCCUGGAUGAGAUCCCGGAUGUCGCGAGGAGUUCCGUAAUGGUCCGAGGUGAAGAUUUAUAUAUAGGAAGUCAAGUUUCGGCCAUCGGGAAAGUUUCGGGGUAAUCAGUAUUGUACCGGGGCCCUCGGAAGGGUCCCGGGGGUCCACCGGGUGGGGCCACCUAUCCCGGAGGGCCCCAUGGGCUGAAGUGGGAGGGGAACCAGCCCCUAGUAGGCUGGUGCGCCCCCCUUGGGCCUCCCCCUGCGCCUAGGGUAGGAAACCCUAGGGGUGGGGGGCGCCACCCUUGCCUUGGGGGGUAAGGCACCCCCUUGGUCGCCGCCCCCCUAGGAGAUUGGAUCUCCUAGGGCCGGCGCCCCCCCCCCCCUAGGCACCCUAUAUAUAGUGGGGGGAGGGAGGGCAGCCACACCCAAGCCCCUGGCCUCUCCCUCUCCCUCCCGUGACACUCCUCCGUCUCCCUGCGCUUGGCGAAGCCCUGCCGAGAUCACCGUUGCUUCCACCACCACGCCGUCGUGCUGCUGGAUCUUCAUCAACCUCUCCUUCCCCCUUGCUGGAUCAAGUUGGAGGAGACGUCUUCCCAACCGUACGUGUGUUGAAUGUGGAGGUGCCGUCCGUUCGGCACUAGGUCAUCGGUGAUUUGGAUCACGUCGAGUACGACUCCAUCAACCCCGUUCUCUUGAACACUUUCGCACGCGAUCUACAAGGGUAUGUAGAUGCACUCCUCUCUCCCUCGUUGCUAGAUGACUCCAUAGAUUGAUCUUGGUGAUGCAUAGAAAUUUUUAAAAUUCUGCUACGUUCCCCAACAGUGGCAUCAUGAGCUAGGUCUAUGCGUAGUUACUAUGCACGAGUAGAACACAAAGCAGUUGUGGGCGUCGAUAUUGUCAAUUUGCUUGUCGUUACUAGUCUUAUCUUGAUUCGGCGGCAUCGUGGGAUGAAGCGGCCCGGACCGACCUUACACGUAUGCUUACGUGAGACUGGUUCCACCGACUGACAUGCACUAGUUGCAUAAGGUGGUUGGCGGGUGUCUGUCUCUCCCACUUUAGUCGGAUCGGAUUCGAUGAACAGGGUCCUUAUGAAGGGUAAAUAGAAAUUGGCAAUUCACGUUGUGGUUUUGGCGUAGGUAAGAAACGUUCUUGCUAGAAACCUAUAGAAGCCACGUAAAGAACUUGCAACAACAAUUAGAGGACGUCUAACUUGUUUUUGCAGCAAGUGUUUUGUGAUGUGAUAUGGCCAAAGGAUGUGAUGAAUGAUAUAUGUGAUGUAUGAGAUGAUCAUGUUCUUUUAAUAGGAAUCACGACUUGCAUGUCGAUGAGUAUGACAACCGGCAGGAGCCAUAGGAGUUGUCUUUAUUUAUUUAUGACCUGCGUGUCAACAUAAAUGUCAUGUAAUUACUUUACUUUAUUGCUAAAGCGUUAGCCAUAGUAGUAGAAGUAAUAGAUGACGAGACAACUUCAAGAAGACACGAUGAUAGAGAUCAUGAUGAUGGAGAUCAUGGUGUCAUGCCGGUGACAAUGAUGAUCAUGGAGCCCCGAAGAUGGAGAUCAAAAGGAGCAAAUGAUAUUGGCCAUAUCAUGUCACUAUUUGAUCGCAUGUGAUGUUUAUCAUGUUUUACAUCUUAUUUGCUUAGAACGACGGUAGCUUAAAUAAGAUGAUCCCUCGUAAUAAUUUCAAGAAAGUGUUCCCCCUAACUAUGCACCAUUGCGAAGGUUUGUUGUUUCGAAGCACCACGUGAUGAUCGGGUGUGAUAGAUUCUAACGUUCGAAUACAACGGGUGUAAGCCAGAUUUACACACGCAAUACACUUAGGUUGACUUGACGAGCCUAGCAUGUACAGACAUGGCCUCGGAACAUGGAAGAUCGAAAGGUCGAGCAUGAGUCGUAUAGAAGAUACGAUCAACAUGAAGAUGUUCACCGAUGUUGGCUAGUCCGUCUCACGUGAUGAUCGGACACGGCCUAGUUAACUCGGAUCAUGUUUCACUUAGAUGACUGGAGGGAUGUCUAUUUGAGUGGGAGUUCAUUGAAUAAUUUGAUUAGAUGAACUUAAUUAUCAUGAACUUAGUCUAAAAUCUUUACAAUAUGUCUUGUAGAUCAAAUGGCCCACGUUGUCCUCAACUUCAACGCGUUCCUAGAGAAAACCAAGCUAAAAGACGAUGGCAGCAACUAUACGGACUGGGUCCGGAACCUAAGGAUCAUCCUCAUAGCUGCCAAGAAAGAUUAUGUCCUAGAAGCACCGCUAGGUGACGCACCUGUCCCAGAGAACCAAGACGUUAUGAACGCUUGGCAGUCACGUGCUAAUGAUUACUCCCUCGUUCAGUGCGGCAUGCUUUACAGCUUAGAACCGGGGCUCCAAAAGCGUUUUGAGAGACACGGAGCAUAUGAGAUGUUCGAAGAGCUUAAAAUGGUUUUUCAAGCUCAUGCCCGGGUCGAGAGAUAUGAAGUCUCCGACAAGUUCUUCAGCUGUAAGAUGGAGGAAAAUAGUUCUGUCAGUGAGCACAUACUCAGAAUGUCUGGGUUGCAUAACCGCUUGACUCAGCUGGGAGUUAAUCUCCCGGAUGACGCGGUCAUUGACAGAAUCCUUCAGUCGCUUCCACCAAGCUACAAGAGCUUUGUGAUGAACUUCAAUAUGCAGGGGAUGGAAAAGACCAUUCCUGAGGUGUAUUCAAUGCUGAAAUCAGCAGAGGUGGAAAUCAAAAAGGAACAUCAAGUGUUGAUGGUGAAUAAAACCACUAAGUUCAAGAAAGGCAAGGGUAAGAAGAACUUCAAGAAGGACGGCAAGGGAGUUGCCGCACCCGGUAAGCAAGCUGCCGGGAAGAAGCCCAAGAGUGGACCCAAGCCCGAGACUGAGUGUUUUUCUUGCAAGGGAAGUGGUCACUGGAAGCGGAACUGCCCCAAAUACUUAGCGAACAAGAAGGCCGGCAACACUAAAGGUAUAUGUGAUAUACAUGUAAUUGAUGUGUACCUUACCAGUACUCGUAGUAGCUCCUGGGUAUUUGAUACCGGUGCGGUUGCUCACAUUUGUAACUCAAAGCAGGAGCUGCGGAAUAAGCGGAGACUGUCGAAGGACGAGGUGACGUUGCGCGUCAGGAAUGGUUCCAAGGUCGAUGUGAUCGCCGUCGGCACGCUGCCUCUACAUUUACCUACGGGAUUAGUUUUAAACCUCAAUAAUUGUUAUUUAGUGCCAGCUUUGAGCAUGAACAUUGUAUCAGGAUCUUGUUUAAUUCGAGAUGGCUACUCAUUUAAAUCCGAGAAUAAUGGUUGUUCUAUUUAUAUGAGAGAUAUGUUUUGUGGUCAUGCUCCGAUGGUGAAUGGUUUAUUCUUAAUGAAUCUCGAGCGUAAUGCUACACAUAUUCAUAGUGUGAAUACCAAAAGAUGUAAGGUUGAUAAUGAUAGUCCCACAUACUUGUGGCACUGCCGCCUUGGUCACAUAGGUGUCAAACGCAUGAAGAAGCUCCAUGCAGAUGGACUUUUAGAGUCUCUUGAUUACGAAUCAUUUGACACGUGCGAACCAUGCCUCAUGGGUAAAAUGACCAAGACUCCAUUCUCAGGAACAAUGGAGCGAGCAACCAACUUAUUGGAAAUCAUACAUACUGAUGUGUGCGGUCCAAUGAGUGUUGAGGCUCGCGGUGGCUAUCGUUAUGUUCUCACCCUCACUGAUGACUUGAGUAGAUAUGGGUAUGUCUACUUAAUGAAACACAAGUCUGAGACCUUUGAAAAGUUCAAGGAAUUUCAGAGUGAGGUUGAGAAUCAACGUGACAAGAAAAUCAAGUUCUUGCGAUCAGAUCAUGGGGGAGAAUACUUGAGUCACGAAUUUGGCACACACUUAAGAAAAUGUGGAAUAGGUUCACAACUCACGCCGCCUGGAACACCUCACCGUAAUGGUGUGUUCGAAUGUCGUAAUCGCACUCUAUUGGAUAAGGUGCGAUCUAUGAUGUCUCUUACCGAUUUACCGCUGUCAUUUUGGGGCUUUGCUUUAGAGACUUCCGCAUUCACUUUAGAUAGGGCUCCGUCAAAAUCCGUUGAGACGACACCGUAUGAAUUAUGGUUUGGGAAGAAACCUAAGCUGUCGUUUCUAAAAGUUUGGGGAUGCGAUGCUUAUGUCAAGAAAAUUCAACCUGAAAAUCUCGAACCCAAGUCGGAAAAAUGCGUCUUCAUAGGAUAUCCUAAAGAAACUGUUGGGUAUACCUUCUACCUCAGAUCCGAAGGCAAGAUCUUUGUUGCCAAGAAUGGGUCCUUUCUAGAGAAAGAGUUUCUCUCGAAAGAAAUAAGUGGGAGGAAAGUAGAACUUGAUGAAAUAUUACCUCUUGAACCGGUAAGUGGCGCAGCUCAAGAAAAUGUUCCUGAGGACCGACUAGAGAGGAAGUUAAUAAUGAUGAUCAUGAAACUUCAGAUCAAGUUACUACUGAACUUUGUAGGUCCACAAGGACACGUUCCGCACUAGAGUGGUACGGCAACCCUGUCUUGGAAAUCAUGUUGUUAGACAACGGUGAACCUUCGAACUAUGAAGAAGCAAUGGCGGGCCCGAAUUCCGACAAAUGGCUGGAAGCCAUGAAAUCCGAGAUACGAUCCAUGUAUGAAAACGAAGUAUGGACUUUGACUGACUUGCCCAAUGAUCGGCGAGCCAUAGAAAAUAAAUGGAUCUUUAAGAAGAAGACAGACGCGGAUGGUAAUGUGACCAUCUAUAAAGCUCGGCUUGUCGCUAAGGGUUAUCGACAAGUUCAAGGGGUUGACUACGAUGAGACUUUUUCACCCAUAGCGAAGCUGAAGUCCGUCCGAAUCAUGUUGGCAAUUGUCGCAUUCUAUGAUUAUGAGAUAUGGCAAAUGGACGUCAAAACGGCAUUCCUUAAUGGUUUCCUUAAGGAAGAAUUGCAUAUGAUGCAGCCGGAAGGUUUUGUCGAUCCUAAGAAUGCUGACAAGGUGUGCAAGCUCCAACGCUCGAUUUAUGGGCUAGUGCAAGCAUCUCGGAGUUGGAACAUUCGUUUUGAUGAUAUGAUCAAGCGUUUGGGUUUACGCAGACUUAUGGAGAAGCCUGCAUUUACAAGAAAGUGAGUCGGAGCUCUGUAGCAUUUCUCAUAUUGUAUGUGGAUGACAUACUGUUGAUGGGAAAUGAUAUAGAAUUCUUGGAAAGCAUAAAGGCCUACUUGAACAAGUGUUUUUCAAUGAAGGACCUUGGAGAAGCUACUUAUAUAUUAGGCAUCAAAAUCUAUAGAGAUAGAUUGAUACGCCUCAUUAGUCUUUCACAGAGUACGUACCUUGACAAGAUAUUGAAGAAGCUCAAAAUGAAUCAGUCAAAGAAGGGGUUCUUGCCUGUAUUGCAAGGUACGAGAUUGAGCACGGCUCAAUGCCCGACCACGGCAGAAGAUAGAGAAAAGAUGAGUGUCGUCCCCUAUGCCUCGGCCAUAGGGUCUAUCAUGUAUGCUAUGCUGUGUACCAGACCUGAUGUAAACCUUGUCGUAAGUUUGGUAGGAAGGUACCAAAGUAAUCCCGGCAUGGAACACUGGACAGCGGUCAAGAAUAUCCUGAACUACCUGAAAAGGACUAAGGACAUGUUUCUCGUGUAUGGAGGUGACGAAGAGCUCGUCGUAAACGGUUACGUCGAUGAUAGCUUCAACACAGAUCUGGAUGACUCUAAGUCACAAACCGGAUACGUGUAUAUUUUGAAUGGUGGGGCAGUAAGCUCGUGCAGUUGCAAGCAAAGCGUUGUGGCGGGAUCUACAUGUGAAGCGGAGUACAUGGCAGCCUCGGAGGCAGCACAAGAAGCAGUCUGGGUGAAGGAGUUCAUUACCGACCUAGGAGUCAUACCCAAUGGGUCGGGCUCGAUGACUCUCUUCUGUGACAACACUGGAGCUAUUGCCCUUGCCAAGGAGCCCAGGUUUCAUAGGAAGACCAGGCAUAUCAAGCGCGCUUCAACUCCAUUCGUGAAAGUGUUCAAAAUGGAGACAUAGAGAUUUGUAAAGUACAUACAGACCUGAAUGUGGCAGAUCCGUUGACUAAACCUCUCCCUAGAGCAAAACAUGAUCAACACCAGAACUGCAUGGGUGUUCGAUUCAUCACAAUGUAACUAGUCUAUUGACUCUAGUGCAAGUGGGAGACUGUUGGAAAUAUGCCCUAGAGGCAAUAAUAAAAUGGUCACUAUUAUAUUUCUUUGUUCAUGAUAAUUGUCUAUUAUUCAUGCUAUAAUUGUGUUAUCCGGAAAUCGUAAUACAUGUGUGAAUACAUAGACCACAACACGUCCCUAGUGAGCCUCUAGUAGACUAGCUCGUUGAUCAAAAGAUAGUCAUGGUUUCCUGACUAUGGACAUUGGAUGUCAUUGAUAACGGGAUCACAUCAUUAGGAGAAUGAUGUGAUGGACAAGACCCAAUCCUAAGCUUAGCUCAAAGAUCGUGUAGUUCGUUUGUUGUAGCUUUUCUGAAUGUCAGGUAUCAUUUCCUUAGACCAUGAGAUUGUGCAACUCCCGGAUACCGUAGGAGUGCCUUGGGUGUACCAAAUGUCACAAUGUAACUAGGUGACUAUAAAGGUACAUUACAGGUAUCUCCGAAAGUGUCUGUUGGGUUGGCACGAAUCGAGACUGGGAUUUGUCACUCCGUAUGAUGGAGAGGUAUCUCUGGGCCCACUCGGUAAUGCAUCAUCAUAAUGAGCUCAAUGUGACCAAGUGGUUGAUCACGGGAUCAUGCAUUACAGCACGAGUAAAGUGACUUGCCGGUAACGAGAUUGAACUAGGUAUUGGGAUACCGACGAUCGAGUCUCGGGCAAGUAACGUACCGAUUGACAAAGGGAAUUGUAUACGGAUUGAUUGCAUCCUCGACAUCGUGGUUCAUCCGAUGAGAUCAUCGUGGAGCAUGUGGGAGCCAACAUGGGUAUCCAGAUCCCACUGUUGGUUAUUGACCGGGGAAGCGUCUCAGUCAUGUCUGCAUGUCUCCCGAACCCGUAGGGUCUACACACUUAAGGUUCAGUGACGCUAGGGUUGUAGAGAUAUUAGCAUACGGUAACCCUGAAAGUUGUUCGGAGUCCCGGAUGAGAUCCCGGACGUCACGAUGAGUUCCGUAAUGGUCCGGAGGUGAAGAUUUAUAUAUAGGAAGUCAAGUUUCGGCCAUCGGGUAAGUUUCGGGGGUACUCAGUAUUGUACCGAGACCACCGGAAGGGUCCCGGGGGUCCACCGGGUGGGGCCACCUAUCCCGGAAGGCCCCAUGGGCUGAAGUGGGAGGGUAACCAGCCCCUAGUGGGCUGGUGCGCCCCCCUUGGGCCACCCCCUACGCCUAGGGUUGGAAACCCUAGGGGUGGGGGCGCCACCCUUGCCUUGGGGGGCAAGGCACCCCCUUGGCCGCUGCCCCCCCUAGGAGAUUGGAUCUCCUAGGGCCGGUGCCCCCCCCCCUAGGCACCCUAUAUAUAGUGGGGGGAGGGAGGGCAGCCGCACCCAAGCCCCUGGCCUCUCCCUCUCCCUCCCGUGACACUCCUCCGUCUCCCUGCGCUUGGUGAAGCCCUGCCAAGAUCACCGUUGCUUCCACCACCACGCUGUCGUGCUACUAGAUCUUCAUCAACCUCUCCUUCCCCCUUGUUGGAUCAAGUUGGAGGAUACGUCUUCCCAACCAUACGUGUGUUGAACGCGGAGGUGCCGUCCGUUCGGCACUAGGUCAUCGGUGAUUUGGAUCACGUCGAAUACGACUCCAUCAACCCCGUUCUCUUGAACGCUUCCACACGCGAUCUACAAGGGUAUGUAGAUGCACUCCUCUCUCCCUCGUUGCUAGAUGACUCCAUAGAUUGAUCUUGGUGAUGCGUAGAAAAUUUUAAAAUUCUGCUACGUUCCCCAACACUUAUUAAUAUGAUUAAUUGAACUUUAAUUUAUCAUGAACUUAGUCCUGAUAGUAUUUGCAUAACUAUGUUGUAGAUCAAUAGCUCGCGAUGUAGCUCCCCGUUUAUUUUUGAUAUGUUCCUAAAGAUAAAUAAGUUGAAAGAUGAUAGUAGAAAUGAUGCGGACCUGGUCCAUGAUCUAAGGAUUAUCCUCAUAGCUACACAGAAGAAUUAUGUCCUUGAUGCACCGCUAGGUGACAGACCUAUUGCAGGAGCAGAUGCAGACGUUAUGAACGUUUGACAAGCUCGGUAUGAUGACUACUUGAUAGUUUAGUGCACCAUGCUUUACGGCUUAGAACCGAAACUUCAAAAAUGUUUUGAACGACAUGGAGCAUAUGAGAUGUUCGAAGAGUUUAAAUUGGUAUUUGAGACUCAUGCCUAUGUUAAUAGGUAUGAGACCUCUGACUUAGUACUUUGCCUACAAGAUGGAGGAGAAUAGCUCAGCUAGUGAGCAUGUGCUUGGAAUGUCUGAGUACUACAACCACUUGAAUCAAGUGGGAGUUAAUCUUCCAGAUAAGAUAGUGAUUGACAGAGUUCUCUAGUCACUAUCACCGAGUUACUAGAACUUUGUGAUGAACUAUAAUAUGCAAGGGAUAACGGAAACGAUUCCCAAGCUCUUCGCGAUGCUGAAAUCAGCAAAGGUAGAAAUCAAGAAAAAGCAUCAAGUGUUGAUGAUUGAAAAGACCACUAGUUUCAAGUAAAAGGGCAAAGAAAAGAAAGGGAACUUCAAGAAGAAUGGCAAGCAAGUUACCACUCCUGUGAAAAAGCCCAAAGCUAGACAAAACCAUGUAACUGAGUGCUUCUACUGCGAAGGGAAUGGUCACUGGAAGCAGAACUACCCCAAAUACUUGGCGGAUAAGAAGGAUGGCAAAGUGAAUAAAAGUAUAUUUGAUAUACACGUUAUUGUUGUGUACUUUACUAGUGUUUAUAGCAACCCCUCGGUAUUUGAUACUGGCUCAGUUUCUAAGAGUAGUAACUCGAAACAGGAGUUGAAAAUAAACAGAGACUAGUCAAGGGCGAGGUGAUGAUGUGUGUUGUAAGUGAUUCCAAGGUUGAUAUGAUCACCAUCACACACUCCCUUUACCUUCAGGAUUAGUGUUGAACCUAAAAUAAAUGUUAUUUGGUGUUUUCAUUGAGCAUGAAUAUGAUUGGCUCAUGUUUAUUGCAAUACGAUUAUUCAUUUAAGUCAAAGAAUAAUUGUUGUUCUAUUUACAUGAAUAAAACCUUCUAUGGUCAUACACUUAAUAUAAAUGGUCUAUUGAAUCUCGAUUGUAGUGAUACACAUAUUCAUAAUAUUGAUGCCAAAAGAUGCAAAGUUGAUAAUGAUAGUGCAACAUACUUGUGGCACUGCUGUUUAGGUCAUAUUGAUGUAAGGAGCAUGAGGAAACUCCAUGUGGAUGGACUUUUGGAAUCACUUGAUUAUGAAUCAUUUGAUGCUUGCGAACCAUGCCUCAUGGGCAAGAUGACUGAUACUCCGUUCUUUGGAACAAUGGAGCGAGCCACCGACUUAUUGGAAAUAAUACAUACCGAUGUAUGCGGUCCGAUGAGUAUUGAGGCUCGCGGCGGGUAUCGUUAUUUCCUGAACUUCACAGAUGAUUUGAGCAGAUAUGGGUAUAUCUACUUGAUGAAACACAAGUCUGAAACAUUUGAAAAGUUCAAGGAAUUUCAGAGUGAAGUGGAGAAUCAUCGUAACAAGAAAAUAAAGUUUCUACGAUCUGAUCGCAGAGGCGAAUAUUUGAGUUAUGAGUUUGGCCUUCAAGUAAAACAAUGUGGAAUAGUUUAUCAACGCACGCCACCUGGAACACCAUAGCAUAAUGGUGUUUCUGAACGUCGUAACCAUACUUUAUUAGAUAUGGUGCGAUCUAUGAUAUCUCUUACUGAUUUACCACUACCGUUUUGGGGUUAUGCAUUAGAGACAACUGCAUUCAUGUUAAAUAGGGCACCAUAUAAAUCCGUUGAGAUGACACCGUAUGAACUGUGGUUUGGAAAGAAACCUAAGAUGUCAUUUCUUAAAGUUUAGGGCUGCGAUGCUUAUGUGAAAAAGCUUCAACCUGAUAAGCUCGAACCCAAAUCGGAGAAAUGUGUCUUCAUAGGAUACCCAAAGGAGACUGUUGGAUACACCUUCUAUCACAGAUCCGAAGGCAAUAUAUUUGUUGCUAAGAAUGGAUCCUUUCUAGAGAAGGAGUUUCUCUCGAAAUAAGUGAGUGGGAGGAAAGUAGAACUUGAUGAGAUCAAUUUACUACCGAACCUCAUAGGUCAACCAGAGUACGGUCCGCACCAGAGUGGUACAGUAAUCCUGUUCUAGAAGUCAUGUUAGUAAACCAUGAUGAACCUAUGAACUAUGAGGAAGCGAUGAUGAGCCCAGAUUCCGCGAAAUGGCUAGAGGCCAUGAAAUCUGAGAUAGGAUCCAUGUAUGAAAACAAAGUAUGGACUUUGGUUGACUUGCCUGAUGAUCGGCAAGCCAUGGAGAAUAAAUGGAUCUUCAAGAGGAAGACGGACACUGAUGGUAGUGUUACUAUCUACAAAGCUCGACUUGUCGCAAAAUGUUUUCAACAAGUUCAAGGUGUUGACUACGAUGAGAUUAUCUCAAUCGUAGCGAUGCUUAAGUCUGUCCGAAUCAUGUUAGCAAUUGCUGCAUUUUAUGAAAUCUGGCAAAUGAAUGUCAAAACUGAAGUCCUUAAUGGAUUUCUUAAAGAAGAGUUGUAUAUGAUGCAACCAGAAGGUUUUGACGAUCCUAAAGGUGCUAACAAAGUGUGCAAAGCUCCAGCGAUCCAUCUAUGGACUGGUGCAAGCAUCUCGGGGUUGGAAUAUAUGCUUUGAUGAGUUGAUCAAAGCAUAUAGUUUUAUACAGACUUGCGUGAAGCCUAUAUUUAUAAGAAAGUGAGUGGGUGCACUACAACCUUUCUGAUAAGUAUAUGUGAAUGACAUAUUGUUAAUCUAAAAUGAUGUAGAAUUUUCUGGGAAGUAUAAAGGAGUGUUUGAAAGGAGUUUUUCAAAGAAAGACAUCGGUGAAGCUACUUACAUAUUGAGCAUCAAGAUCUAUAGAGAUAGAUCAAGACGCUUGAUAAGUUUUUCAAUGAGUACAUACCUUGACAAGAUUUUGAAGUAGUUCAAAAUGGAAUAGUCAAAGAAGGAGUUCUUGCCUGUGUUGCAAGGUGUGAAGUUUAGUAAGACUCAAAGCCCGACCACGGCAGAAGAUAGAGAGAGAAUGAAAGUCAUUCCCUAUGCCUCAGCCAUAGGUUCUACAAAGUAUGCCAUGAUGUGUACCAGACCUAUUGUAUACCCUGCCCUGAGUUUGGCAAGGGAAUACAAUAGUGAUCUAGGAGUAGAUCACUAGACAUUGGUCAAAAUUAUCCUUAGAGGACUAAGGAAAUAUUUCUUGGGUAUGGAGGUGAUAAAGAGUUGGUCGUAAAGAGUUACGUCGAUGCAAGCUUUAACACCGAUCUGGAUGACUCUGAGUCUUGAUCUGGAUACAUAUUGAAAGUGGGAGCAUAUAGCUAGAGUAGCUCCGUGCAGAGCAUUGUAGACAUAGAAAUUUGCAAAAUACAUACGGAUCUGUAUGUGAUAGACCCAUUGACUAAACUUCUCUCACAAGCAAAACAUGAUCACACCAUAGUACUCUUUGGGUGUUAAUCACAUGGCGAUGUGAACUAAAUUAUUGACUCUAGUAAACCCUUUGGGUGUUGGUCACAUGGUGAUGUGAACUAUUGGUGUUAAAUCACAUGGUGAUGUGAACUAGAUUAUUGACUCUAGUAAACCCUUUGGGUGUUGGUCACAUGGUGAUGUGAAGUAUUGGUGUUAAAUCACAUGGCGAUGUGAACUAGAUUAUUGACUCUAGUGCAAGUGGGAGACUGAAGGAAAUAUGCCCUAGAGGCAAUAAUAAAGUUGUUAUUUCUAUUUCCUUAUAUCAUGAUAAAUGUUCAUUAUUCAUGCUAGAAUUGCAUUAACCAGAAACUUGGUAAAUCUCUGAAUACAUAGACAAAACAGAGUGUCCCUAGUAUGCCUCUACUUGACUAGCUCGUUAAUCAAAGAUGGUUAAGUUUCCUGACCAUAGACAUGUGUUGUCAUUUGAUGAACGGGGUCACAUCAUUAGUGAAUGAUGUGAUGGGCAAGACCCAUCCGUUAGCUUAGCAUAAUGAUCGUUUAGUUUUAUUGUUAUUGCUUUCUUCAUGACUUAUACAUGUUCCUCUGACUAUAACAUUAUGCAACUCCCGAAUACCGUAGGAACACCUUGUGUGCUAUCAAACGUCACAACAUAACUGGGUGAUUAUAAAGAUGCUCUACAGGUGUCUCCGAUGGUGUUUGUUGAGUUGGCAUAGAUCGAGAUUAGGAUUUGUCACUCCGAGUAUCGGAGAGGUAUCUCUGGGCCCUCUCGGUAAUGCACAUCACUAUAAGCCUUGCAAGCAAUGUGACUAAUGAGUUAGUUGCAGGAUGAUGCAUUACGGAACGAGUAAAGAGACUUGGCGGUAACGAGAUUGAACUAGGUAUGAUGAUACCGACGAUCGAAUCUUGGGCAAGUAACAUACUGAUGACAAAGGGAACAACAUAUGUUGUUAUGCGGUUUGACUGAUAAAGAUCUUCGUAGAAUAUGUAGGAGCCAAUAUAAGCAUCCAGGUUCCGCUAUUGUUUAUUGACUGGAGAUAUGUCUCGGUCAUGUCUACAUAGUUCUCGAACCCGUAGGGUCCGCACACUUAACGUUCGAUGACGAUUUGUAUUAUGAGUUAUGUGAUUUGAUGACCAAAGUUUGUUCGGAGUCCCGGAUGAGAUCACGAACAUGACGGGGAGUCUCAAAAUGGUCGAGAGGUACAGAUUCAUAUAUAGGAUGAUAGUAUUUGGACACCGGAAGUGUUCCAGGUGAUACCGGGUCACUGGAAGUGGUUCUGGGCAACCCCCGGCAAAGAUAUGGGCUUAAUGGGCCAAGUAAGGGAACACACCAGCCACGUGGGGAGAAAGGGAAAGGAGAGGAGGAAAAGGAAAGUAUGAAGUAGGACUCCUACUUCCUUCCUCUCCCCCCUCCUUCAUUUCCCCCUUGUCCAAAUAUGGUAAGGGGGGCGAAAUGGACUAGGGGCUCAAGUAGGAUUCCUCCUACUUGGGCGCGCCCUAGGCUGCCUCCCUCCCUCUCCCUCCUUUAUAUACGUGGGUAGGGCACCCUUAGAACACACAUCAAUUGUUCCUAGACGUGUGCGGUGCCCCCCUCCACAGUUACACACCUCGGUCAUAUCGUCGUAGUGCUUAGGCGAAGCCCUGCGCCGGUCACUUCAUCAUCACCGUCGCCACGCCGUUGUGCCGACGAAACUCUCCCUCGGCAUCAACUAGAUCAAGAGAUCAAGGGACGUCAUCGAGCUGAACGUGUGUUGAACACGGAGGUGACGUACAUUCAGUGCUUGGAUAGGUUGUAUCGCGAAGACAUUCGACUACAUCAAGCGUGUUACUAAACGCUUACGCUUUCGGUCUAUGAGGGUACGUGGACACACUCUCCCCUCUUGUUGCUAUGCAUCUUCUAGAUAGAUCUUGCGUGAUCGUAGGUAAAUAUUUGGAAAUACUACAUUCCCCAACAUGAACAUGGGUGGGAACCAUCCCCCCUAGUGGGCUGGUGCGCCCCCCCCCCCCCAAGGGGCCCAAGGCGCCUAGGGUUAAAACCCUAGGGGUGGGGGCGCCCCCCCCCCCACCACCACCACCACCAACAACUUGGGGGACAAGCACCCCCUUGGCCACCGCCCGCCUUCCCCCCUCUAGAUGCAUCUAGGGGGUCGGUCCCCUCUCCCCUUCACCCUACAAAUAGUGGGGGUGGGAGGGCCGCUGCACUGUAGCACCCAAGAUGUGAUUCUAUCCCAAUCACGUGAUAAAUUCAUGAUUAGGGCACAACCGCAUAUCGAGCGCAUAGCAAGGUGGAUAUCAUUACAACAUACCAUGUACUGAAUAGAUGAUAAUACAAAAUAAAGGCUUACACUCGCCACAAGUUACAACAUGAAUACAACAGUUCAUCAAUACAUAGCAAUCAUCAUAUAGAAGAGCAGGAUCCGACUACGGAUGAAAUCAAACGAAAGAGAAGAAUGACAUCCACCCCGCUAAUCCCAGGCUCCCCGACCCGGAACCAAUUCCCUUGAUCGAAGAAGAAGAAGAAGAACUCCAAAAGCAAUCAAGCAUCGCUCUCACAUCAUGAGCAUCGCAUUACCUGUACUUGCAACUGUUGUUGUAGUAAUCUGUGAGCCAUGAGGACUCGGCAAUCCCAUUACCAUGGGUAUCAAGACUAGCAAAGCUUAAUGGGUAUGGAAGGGAUAAGUGGUGAGGUGGCAGCAGCGGCUAAGCAAAGUAUGGUGGCUAACUCAUGAGUAUAAGAGAAAGAUGAGAAACUACGCAACGGUCGCAAACUAGUAAUGAUUAAGAAGUGAUCCUAAACUACUUACAUUCAAACAUAACCCAACCGUGUUCUCUUCUCGAACGCACCCAAAAAGAGACAAUCACGGUUACACACGUGGUUGGUGUAUUUUAGUUGAGUUCAGUUCAAGUCCACUACAACCGGAUAUUAACAAUUCCCAUCUGCCACAUAACCGCGAGCACGGCUCUCGAAUGUUUAAACCCUGCAAGGGUGUCCCAACUUAGCGAUCCGCGGAGACAAUCCUCCAUCACGGGACCCUCCGAUCAGACUCGGAAUCCCGGUGCACAAGACAUUUCGACAAUGGUAAAACAAAUCCAGCAAGACCUCCCGAUGCACUGACCUAGCCUGAUAGGAGUUGCGCGAUCUUGUUCUUAGGGUACACCGGAUGGGUCAGCCUACAGGUAUAUACCAAAUACCUCGGGUUUCCUCGAGGCGGCCCCAUAGUCUACCCGGUUUGGACCAACACCCAUGAGGAGCACUGGCCCGGGGGUUGAUUAAGAGUCCAUGGGUGCUAGCCGGUCCCUAUGCAAUUUUUUAGUUGUUAUUAGGCAAAUGGUAAAACCAAUGUUGGGCCUUGCUGGAAGAGUUUUAUUCAAAGCGAACUCUCAAGAGGGGCCCAUAAACCCUCAUCGUGUUAGGUACGCAAAAUCAAGGAACAUAACACCGGUAUGACGGAAACUAGGGCGGCAAGAGUGGAACAAAACACCAGGCAAAAGGCGAGCCUUCCACCCUUUAUCAAGUAUAUAUGUGCAUUAAUUAAAUAAGAGAUACUGUGAUAUCCCAUCAUAUCCAUGUCCCUUCAUGGAACAACCCGCAACUGCACCUGCAACUAGAAACGCUAUAAGAGGGUCUGACCACACGGUAACAUAGCCAAACAACGGUUUGCUAGGAUGGUGGAAAAGGUUACAUGCUAUCAUGGCAAUUUGGGAGGCUUGAUAAACAAGUGGUAGGAAGCGUGACGUAGCGAUAGAAUUGAGACAACUAGCAUAGCAAUGAUAGUAGUGAUAUCUAGGGUAAUCGUCAUCUUUCCUGAAAUCCCGCUAGGAAGAAGACCGAAUCCAUGAAGUAGACGAACCAACAUAGUCGAACGGAUCCUCACAAUCGCAAUGUAACUCGAACUAUCAAGGAGAAGCGCAACCAGAAAGAAGCAAACAACAUAGUAAACAAACAAGCAUAAACAUGGCACGAUGCACAAUCAAGUAUGAUGCAUGUCCGGUUUAAAGAGGCAUGACAUGGAAAAAUGCAACAAACAAUACUACAAGUUAAAUGGAGCUCAAUAUGCAACGAGUUGCAUAUUGACGAAACACCACAUUCCAAUAUUUAGUUCACUCCCGUUUAAGCUACUCAUCAAUAUUAAAUAUUGUUACACAUGGCAAGAGGUGAAACAUAAUUAAACUAACUAUCUAGGCAAGUUUAAAUGAGGCCGGAACGACAAACAAGAAUUCCAUAAAAUCCCCAUGUGCAUAUUUUGGAUUUGGUACUGUUCUGCCCUAAACACAAUUUUAUUGUUGUUAAACAGGAAAAUAAAGUACACCAUGUUAAUCUAUGCAUUUUUUACCCCAUUUACAUAUAUAGUUUAUUUAAUUCAGAGCUACAAUUAAUUAGUUAUGAAAUGAACCAUUUUAACAUGCUAUUUAUGCAAAUUAAUGCAAACAACAUUUUAAACAUUUUAAACAUGGAUGAAUGUAGCAUAUUAUGAAAAUAGAUGAAAUUCUAAGCAUUUUACAUGUUUACAUCAUUUUAAACCGAUGCACGGUUAUUUAGUUGUAAGCAAUGCAAGUAAAAUGGCAUUUCUGUAAUAUGCAUGCAUUGGUUAUUAUAGAAAAUUCGUCGGACGGUAAAAAAAAUAGGCACAGGGCGAAACUACUGGGUCUAGCCCACAACACCGAGGGGAAAUCGACUUGGCGUCCUCACCUCGGGACCUCACAGGCCGGUCGAGGAGGCAGCCCGCUAGCGAGCAGAGGCAGGCCGGCUCGUUCGGGCGGAGCUGGGCCGUGGAGCUGGGCCAGGGCGCUGGAUGCGGCCUAGGCGCGAGACACAGUGGCUGGCCUGGCGCGCUGGUUGUCAGGACCGCCUUUCCAAUAAAACAUUUAUUGAAAAGCCGACCUUUGUGUUGACCAGUACAGAAGAAUUCUUCUUACUGGCAGACAAAACCUUGAUACAGAAAUCCAGCAGAACUAAAUAUUAUACAUGGUUGAGCUGAGGAUGCUCAAAAAUUUAUUACAAGCACGCCUACAUUAUACAUAGAGGCGGAUAUGACACAAGGGUAUGGUGACAUAACUACUGACUCGAAAUAAAGGUGGUGGUGGAUAUGUCACAGUGAGGGAGUGACAUGACUCUGAAAGCUUACAGCUCAUCAAGCGUCGGAGUGAGGCUUGAUGAUUUUUAUUCGGGUGGCGGAAGCGUGUAUAAUACAAGUGAACAACUCCAGGGUCGCACGUGACUGACUGGGACUCCUCUAGGCGUCGGACUCGCUAUCGAACUCUUCAUCCAUAAGAUCGCCUUCGUCAACAUCUGGCCAAAUCAACAAGCCAGGUGAGUACUUUGAAUGUACUCGCAAGACAGUUCGGACAUAAGAUAUAACAAAUGUAAAUAUGAUGCACAUGAGCAGGUUAGUAUGCACAAUCAAAUAAUAGAUUUGCACUGCACGAUAAAUAAAAGGAAGUCAGGCGGUAGUCCUCCCGAAAUCCCAAUAAAAUAACAGAAGACCGAUCGGAUGUCUGAAGCGACGCCUCGAAAGGUAAUACUAAAUUAACAUGCCGCAGUCGGGCGUCGAGGCGACACCACAUAAAGGGCUUAUAUUGAAAAGUAAAUAACAGAACGUGCCACAGUAGGACGUCUAAGCGACAUCUCAUAAAGGGCUUAUAUUGAAAAGUAAAUAACAGAACGUGCCACGGUCGGACGUCUAAGCGACAUCUCGAAAAGGGCUUAUAAUGAAAAUAAAUCACAAAUAUGCCACAGUCGGACGUCUGAGCGACAUCACAUAAAGGGCUUAUAGUUUAUCAUUCGAAUUUUAAAUAGCUCAUGAAUUUAAAUCAUCGCAAGGAAAUACUCAGCAUAUAAUAAUAAACUGGUUAGUCCAUUCACAUAAAUAACCUUCAGUCGAGUUUACCACUCUCGAUUUUAUGUUUAUACUCCGGGGGCUGCCUCUGGGGUUGACACUGAGAUUUGCCACUGAGACUAACACUGAUACAAAGAUGAUGUCCAAGUCCUUGCUCGUGGACAUGGAUACUCGGAUGGUUUUGACUCUGCAGAGUUUGUACUCUUUACCACAACCAACGGAUUUCGGUAGUCACAAGGACUAGUUCCGUUUACGGUGUUUUAGAAGAAACAUCUAACCAGUACACACCCAUUCCACAUUCCAUUGCCAGGGAUCACCCUCGGCGACGUUCAAGAAAAACCUUAAGACGGGGAGGCUACAACCUCGAAUAGCAUGGGAUCAAAUUUAUAUCGCGCGCUCUAAGGGGUGCCCCCCUCUCGGUCCCAACCGGAAACACCCAUGCCCCCUGACCGGAUGACUGGCUUUAAUCCAGGGCCAUGGAACCCUCAUCGCGGUCUCUCUAUUUGGUGUGUACCAGGAAAGAGGUUUGCAACUUACUAACCCGCACCCUUUGUAGAAAACAUGUGGCAGCACGAAGGGGAAACGAACGGGAUCGAGACUUGACCCACGUUAAAACUGGAGUUCACGGUUGACAUAAAACUGGCAUGCUUCAACAAUACCAGCCUGCAACACAUCAUGUCACCACAUGAUCGUGUUAUCUUAUCAUCAUAAGAACACAUCCAACUUCGAAGCUCACUUGUAGCUUGUCUUGCAUGCACAUCACAUUCACAAAUGCUUAUAUAAACAUGCCAUGAGAAAAACUCCUCAAGCAAACAUGCAAAACACUCAUCAUAUCAAAGGUUCAAACAUGCUUCCCUGGUUCGGAGAAGUCGGAGUCUAGCUCGGCGAAGUACGCGUCUCCUUUACCUCCUCCGGUAUCUACGUAUUAAAGAAAAUCGGAUACUACAUAAAUACCGUGCGUGCAAAAAAAGUAUCCCAAAUAUUUUUCAAAUAAAUAUAACAAAAAACUAGACAGAAAAAUAAAGAUGACAGAAAAAGUUUCAAGUUAAAAUCAUCUUUUGUUUAAAAGUUAUAAGGGUUUUAGUCUAGGGACCUUGCUGUAAUGAAAUAGAAAGUUUCCAGGGUUCACUUCAUAAAAACAGAAAACGUUUCAGUCUAGAAUACGUCAGUCCAGAGGGGAGACGUAUUUUGCCCGAAGGCGUUUUCAGAAAACGUUCAAAAAAAAAAAGAAAAAGCUGACGGGGAGGUCCCACCCGUCGGGUUUGAAAACCAGAACAGGGCAGUGGCGCUCGAGGGCCGCGGUGGUCGCCGGCGGUGAUCCAUGGCGAGGCAAGGGGAUCAGAGGGUACCAACAUGUUCACCGUGUUCUUCCGCACCUGUGGGUGGUGGAGUUGAGCGUCGGUGAGCACCACAUCGACGGCGGCCCCAACUCCGGCGGACGGUGGUUCGGGUGAGGUUGAUUCUCUCCAAGCAGAGCUGCAAGCUUCAAAUUGGAGUGUGGGUUAGAAGUGUGGGUGCACUAGGAGGCUAAGGCAGAGUUAGGGAGGCGUGGGUGCCCUCACUGGCGCGGAUCGUGCCGGAGCCUGAAGCGGAUCGGGGCGGCCGUAGACGGAGAAGAAGACCCCCUGGAGGUCCUCCUAGUGGCUGGGCGUGGCUCUGGAGAGGUGUAGGGGUGAUGCCUGGUCGAGAUCGAGCUCGAGGCCCCCUUUUAUAGCCGGCCCGAGGCGGUGCCCAAGAACGGGAUAACUGCGGCGAUGGCUACAGCUGUGCAGAGGUUGAACUGGCCAUUUAGGGGAUUGGGCAGCUUAGUGAUGAUCCACUGGCUCCACUCAAACGCUAACCUUGGUGGGAUUUGGCCUACUCCGCGGUUUCGAUGGAACGGCGCCUCGCGGGCCCGGCGGCGGCAGAGUGCAUGCUCUGUGCUUGCCAGGCCACGGCGACGGUGCCGCAGUCGUGCACAGAGGAGGGGGUGGACACGCGGAGGGCUCUGGUGGCUGGGGCGGUGCCGGACGGCGCCGAAAGGCAGGGCCGGCCUCUGUUGGCCGCCACGGGUGGCUCUGCCACCGCAGAAGACGCCGGAGCUGGAGCUGAUCUUCGGUGAGGUGGACUCUUGGUGUAUCUGGAAGCUGUAUGAAUUAUCUCAGAAUUUUUGAAAAAGGAAAAAUAUGGAUUUCACCAAAAAUGGCAUUUCUGGUCCAAACUUGCAGUGGGCAAAAUUUGAAAUUUUUGAACUGAGGACAAGUGGAUCUUGAUGGAUCUAGGUUGAGGGUACUAAGGACUAGUCAGAGGAGUUUGUUUGGAGUUAAAACUCAAAAGGAAACUUGUAGUUCCUUUGCAAAUCACCUAGGUCCAAAACAAAUCACAGAAAUAGUUUUGAGGUUAAAAUAAAUUGAAUAGAAAACAAAAAUGGCUUGAAACUUGCUGGAGGUGGGGUCUUGCCUUGAUCUAAGGCAGGGAUGGGUUUUGGAAUGCUAUGUCAAAAUGUGAAAUGGCAAAAGAGGAAAUUUUGAAUGGGGAAAAGAAUAACCCAUAAUCCCUAGGGUUUCUUUUUAAUAGAAGGAAAUUCAGAAAAUAAAUUUGAGUAGAGUCAAGACAACAUGAAAAGUUCUCAAGACCAAAAAUCAAGGUUGAGAAGAGUACCAAAAUAUUUGUCAUAAAAGUUUUGAGAGGGAGAGGGUUUAAGAAAAAAAAUUAAAUAGCCUCCUCCAAAUCAAAUAAAGAUUUUGAUAAAUACCAAAUCAAAAUUUUUGGAGUGUCACAACACCUACCCCCUUAGGAAAAAUCUCUUGCCCGAGAUUUCAGCUGAUCCUCAAAUAGGUGUGGGUAUUCUGCCCGGAGAGAGUCCUCUCUUUCCCAUGUCGCUUCAUCCUCAGUGUGAUUGCUCCACUAAACCUUGAAGAACUUAAUUGUUUUUUGACGGGUCCUCCUUUCAGACUCCUCUAAUACCUUUAUUGGACGUUCCCUGUAGGUGAGGUCUGGUUGCACGUCAAUGUUCUCAUGUGACACUUGCUUCUCUGGGUUGCUUACACAUCUCAUCAACUGUGAGACGUGGAACACGCGUGGACGUCUGACAGCUCCUUGGGUAGGUCUAGCUGGUAGGCUACAGUGCCUCUCCGUGCAACCACACAGAAGGGUCCAAUAAAUCUUGGUGCUAGCUUUCCUUUAACCUUGAACCGUUGCAGGCCCCUCAUAGGGGAUACUCGUAGGUACACAUAUUCACCGGGUUCAAAGCUGACUUCACGAUGCUUCUGAUCGUAGUAACUCUUUUGUCGGCUUUGAGCUAUCUUGAGUCGGUCCCUGAUGAGCCUAACUUUCUCUUCGGCUUCCUUGAGCAUGUCUGGGCCGAAGAUACGGCUGUCUCCUGUUUCCGACCAAUUUAAUGGAGUACGACACCUCCGCCCGUACAGGGCUUCAAAAGGUGCCAUUUGUAGGCUGGAUUGAUAAUUGUUGUUGUAUGCGAACUCGGCAUAUGGCAGGCUUUCUUCCCAACUGGUUCCAUAGGUGAGGACACAUGCUCUCAGCACGUCCUCUAGAAUUUGGUUCACGCAUUUAGUUUGUCCAUCAGUUUGGGGGUGGUAUGCUGUACUGAAUGCUAGCUGAGUUCCCAAAGCCUGUUGUAAAUGAUCCCAGAAUUUUGAGACGAAUUGAGUGCCUCUUUCGGAUAUUAUAGUCUUUGGAACUCCAUGCAGACAAACUAUACGGGAGAGAUAAAUCUUGGCAAGCUUCUGAGUGGUGUGGGUUGUCUUCACUGGGAUGAAAUGUGCCACCUUGGUUAAUCUAUCGGUGAUGAUCCAUAUGGCAUCAUUUCCGUAUUGUGACCGAGGUAGUCUGACAAUGAAAUCCAUCCCAAUUUCGUCCCAUUUCCACUCAGGUAUCCUGUUUGGUUGUAGUAGUCCGGCUGGUUUUUGGUGCUCGGCUUUUAUGCAUUGACAAGAAUCGCAACAUGCAAUGAAGGUGGCUAUAUCCCUCUUCAUACCGUGCCACCAAAAUCUUUCCUGAAUGUCCUUAUACAUUUUGGUUCCUUCAGGGUGGAUUGAAUAUGGAGCGGCGUGGCCUUUGGUUAGGAUUUGCUGUUUGAGGUCCUCUAUAUUUGGCACGCAAAGUCUUUCUCCGUACCAUAAUAUUCCCUCAUUGUCUACGACGAAUUCCGAGGCCUUGCCCAUGCUCACUUUUCUUUUUAUGCCUUCGAUGCUGGGGUAUCCAUGCUGAGCUUUCUUAAUCUGCUCCACAAGGGUGGGGUGUAUUUCCAAAUUUGACACAGUGCCCUCCGUGACCAUCACCAAGUUGAGUUUGGUGAACUCCUAUUGAAAUUCAGGUCUCAAGUUAUGUGGGUGGUCGUUGCCCGAGCUGGGGUUUCGACUAAGAGCAUCUGCCACUACAUUCACUUUUCCUAGAUGGUAGUGGAUGCCAACAUCAUAAUCUUUCACUAAUUCCAACCAGCGUCCUUGCCGUAAAUUGAGCUCUGGCUGUGUGAAAAUAUAUUUGAGACUUUUGUGGUCCCUAUAUAUUUCACAACGAUUUCCAAGCAAAAAGUGUCUCCACUCUUUGAGUGCAUGAAUGACUGCUGCCAAUUCUAAGUCAUGAGUGGGAUAAUUUUCUUCAUGCUUUCGAAGUUGUCUGGAAGCGUAUGCAACUACUUUGCCUUCUUGCAUUAGCACGCAUCCGAGGCCUUUCCGGGAUGCAUCACAAUACACUUCAAAACUUUUGUGUAUGUCUGGUAUAACCAAUACUGGUGUUGUUGUUAAUUUCUUCUUGAGUUCUUGGAAACUUUUCUCGCGAGCUUCAGUCCAUACAAAUUGCUUAUCCUUCUUGAGUAACUAUGUCAUUGGCUUUGCUAUGGUGGAGAACCCCUCAAUAAACCUUCGGUAGUAUCCAGCCAUUCCCAGAAAACUGCGGACAUCCGUUACGUUGGCUGGUGAUUUCCAUCCAAGUACGGCCUUGACUUUUUUUCGGCAACGCCUUCUUGGGUCAAUACGUGGCCUAGAAAGCUGACCUGUCUUAACCAAAAUUCACAUUUGCUGAAUUUGGUGUAUAAUUGGUGCUUCCUUAAUUCUCCCAUUACAAUCCUGAGAUGUUCUGCAUGCUCUUCUGGUGUCUUAGAGUAUACCAGAAUAUCGUCAAUGAACACCACAACAAAUUUGUCCAUAAAUUUCAUAAACACUUUGUUCAUGAGGUGGACAAAAUAUGCGGGGGCAUUUGUUAGUCCAAAUGGCAUUACUGUAAAUUCAUAUAGUCCGUAUCUGGAGGUGAAUGCUGUGUUGGGGAUAUCUUCUGUCCGGACUUUUAAUUGAUGAUAUCGUGGCCUUAAAUCAAUUUUUGAGAAAACUUUGGCUUGUGUGAGCUGGUCAAAUAAAUCAUUUAUCUGUGGCAUCGGAUAUUUAUUUUUGAUGGUGACCAUAUUGAGUGCUCGAUAGUCUAUGCAUAAUCUCAGUGUCCCAUCCUUUUUCUUGGCAAAUAAUACUGGCGAACCCCAAGGUGAGGAGUUGGCUCGUAUAAACCCUUUGUCCAACAAUUCUUUUAUUUGCUCCUUUAAUUCUACCAACUCGGAGGGUGCCAUCCUAUAGGGUUUCUUGUAGAUGGGGGUGGUUCCAGGUGCUAGUUCAAUGCUGAACUCUAUUUCCCGGUCUGGCGGCAUGCCUGGUAGUUCUUCGGGAAAUACGUCAGGGAAUUCGCACACCACUGGAACUUUGCUUAACUCUGAGGUGUCCACCUUGUUCAAUCUUGGUGGUCGUGAUCCUGGUCUUUCUUGGGCUGCGACUUUUAUUGUCUUCCCGUGAUGAUGAGUGAGGAUUACAUUCCGAUUGAAGCAAUCGAUAAAUCCUUUGUUGGUGGUUAACCAAUCCAUCCCUAGGAUAACCUCCGGCCCUUUAUUUUCCAAUACGAUGAGGUUUGCUUGAAACUUUAGCCCUCUGAGCUCAAUAAUUACACCUUGGCAGUAACUCUGAGUGAUUUGCUUAUUCCCGGGGGACUUGAUGAUCAUGGAUUUUUCCAAAGGGAGUAUCGAGAAAUCAUGUUGCAAAGCAAAAUUCUUCGAAAUGAACGAGUGAGAAGCUCCAGAAUCAAACAAAACCGUGGCAGGUAUUGUGUUGACAGGGAACGUACCGAGUACGAUAUCUGGGGCAUUUUGCGCUUCCUCCUUGGUCACAUGGUUCAGGUGACCCUUCUUGUGAUUGUUGUUGGGGUUGAAGUUGUUACACUUGGGUGCUGAAUUGUUCCCAUUGUUGUUCGGCUUUGGGGCCGAGUUUCUUGGCUUUGGGCACUGUUUAGCAUAGUGUCCUUCCUCCCCACAAGCGUAGCAAGUGACGCCUGGGUGAUACGUAAAAUCCUUGUCCCUUGUGUGAAAACUUUUGAUUGGCCGCGGAACAUUGGUUGUGGGUCGGUUUGCUCCAAUCUUCUGAGGGUCAGUCUUGUGCCGGUUGUUGCGAGCAUGAGUAACCUGGUCCCUUUUCCGCUUGUGAAAUUCCUCCAAGUUGUGGCGCUCAUUUUCCAAUGUAAUGGCCUUGUCCACAAGUGUUUUGAAGUCUGGAAAGGUGUAUACGACCAGCUGGCAUUUAAGGGCUGGUGCCAGACCAUCCAGAAACUUCUCCAUCUUUUUGUUCUUCGUCAUAUGUUCUUCGUUGGCAUAACGAGAUAAUAGGGUAAACUGACUAUUGUAGUCAGUCAUUGUCAUGCUUCUCUGCUUGAGGUCAUCAAAUUCCCUUUUCUUGAUCUUCAUAAUGCUUCUGGGAAUGUGCGCCCCACGAAAUCCUUCUUUAAAAUCUUCCCAGGUGAUAUUGUUUUCAUUGGGGUGCAUGUGUAGGAAAUUCUCCCACCAUGAUGCGGCUGCUCCCGUGAGAUAGUGAGGUGCAUAAAGUACCUUCUCACGGUCUGAACACUGAGCAAUAAUCAACUUCCUCUCAAUGUCUCGAAGCCAAUCAUCGGCCUCAAGAGGUUUAUUAGUGUGAGAGAACAUUGGGGGACGCGUCUUCUAUAAUUCAGACAAUUUAGAGUGCUGCUGAUAUGGCUCACGAUGAUUCCCCAUAUUGAUAACAUGGUUCAUCAUUUCUUGAUGCUACUGCUGGCUUUGCUCAUAAAGGCGGCAUACUUGAGAAAAUGUUGUUUCACUGCCCUGCUGACUUGACUGUCCCUGUGUGAAAUUGUUGCUAGUCUGGGCACCAUAAUUUUCUUCCGGCGGGUUUGGCAUGGAACACGUCCAGGGACGAGGCAUUUUUCACUCUGGGGUAAUUUUGCAAACUCAUGAGAAAAUUGAGUCAUAAAAAUAAAUAAUUUUGUAAAGGCGGAAAUUUUAAGAAUUCUCAGAUUUUUCAAGAUAAAACUCGAUUGCGCAUGGAGAAGGACCGCUUAGUACAUAUCUUACACGCAAGCCGUAUUUAUACAAUACAUCACUCAGGAUGUGCGUACACAUUCCUGACAUGUUAUUUAGGCUAGUGCAUUUCUCUGAGAUCCUACAUGAUGUGCACACAAACUACUACUCACCAAACAUAUGUACAUAUAAACAUAUCAUACAAGCUGGCACAUCACACUGCUGCUAGGCAUGUUCAGUCGGAGCUGGUGAAGACCUCCUUUGGCCUGCCGAGGGUAAGACCCCGUGGUGCUAGAGACUCAACCUCUUCCUCAAUGAUAGGCUCCAGGCGCGAAGUACUGGGUUGUGGAGCUGGCACGGGUGUGACAGGUGGUGCGGCUCGGACUGGAGUGGGAGCAAUGACCUGGUCAAACUCCUAGUGGUAGGCAGGCGGCGAGCGGUGGCUAAGAUGGCCGGUGUAUAGGAUGCUGAGGACGAGAUGAACGUCAGUGGUGGUGCCAUAUGGAGGAGCUCCCUCUUGUUGGCAGAGCAGCCAUGGAUGGAAUCCAUACGAGCAGCUAUGAGGUCAUCCACGAGGUUGUCGAAAGCUGCCUCAAGUGCCUUGAGGUACUCAACAAGCAUCUCAAUAGCCUCAUCUCUUUCUCCCCUGGCGCAAGCGAAUGCAUAGUGGCAAGUGUAUGGCACGUGGCAGGGAAGGUAGCGGUAGCGACGAGUCUUCAUUGAAGGAAGAACAUCCCGGAGACGAGCUAUUGCCUCGCGGGCAGCCAUCUGCAUGGCAUGCCUCUCCGUAGGCAUGGCCCUCCCGACGAACCGGAAGCGGCGGAACUCGGCGCGUCCUCCCUUGAACUGAAUUGCGGCCUGGUACAUGGACAAACUGUCGCUGAGCUUGUGCCGGUAGAGUGUGAACUCCGGACAGACUGAUGGCCCGAUCGCGAUCUUGGUGAUGGAGAUGAGGAGCUUGAUAAACCCCUCAGGAACAUUGGCGAACACCUGUGACUCACAAACGUUGCCCGCCAUCUACAAAAGUAGACAAAAUCCCGAAUAGUCAAAUCAUAAAUUUAUGAUGACCAACAGAAAAUUGCUACAAUAUGCAGAAUAAUAAAAUAAGCUAAUAACCGAUUAGCGAUCGCACCUAGUGGCUUCCUACAGUCAGCCUGGCUCUGAUACCAAGUUUGUCAGGACCGCCUUUCCAAUAAAACAUUUAUUGAAAAGCCGACCUUUGUGUUGACCAGUACAAAAGAAUUCUUCUUACUGGCAGACAAAACCUUCAUACAGAAAUCUAACAGAACUAAAUAUUACACAUGGUUGAGCUGAGGAUGCUCAACAAUUUAUUACAAGCACGCCUAUAUUAUACAUAGAGGCGGAUAUGACACAAGGGUAUGGUGACAUAACUACUGACUCGAAAUAAAGGUGGUGGUGGAUAUGUCACAGUGAGGGAGUGACAUGACUCUGAAAGCUUACAGCUCAUCAAUCGUCGGAGUGAGGCUUGAUGAUUUUUAUUCGGGUGGCGGAAGCGUGUAUAAUACAAGUGAACAACUCCAGGGUCGCACGUGACUGACUGGGACUCCUCUAGGCGUCGGAAUCGCUAUCGAUUUCUUCAUCCAUAAGAUCGCCUUCGUCAACAUCUGGCCAAAUCAACAAGCCAGGUGAGUACUUUGAAUGUACUCGCAAGACAGUUCGGACAUAAGAUAUAACAAAUGUAAACAUGAUGCACAUGAGCAGGUUAGUAUGCACAAUCAAAUAAUAGAUUUGCAAUGCACGAUAAAUAAAAGGAAGUCAGGCGGUAGUCCUCCCGAAAUCCCAAUAAAUAACAGAAGACUGAUCGGGUGUCUGAAGCGACGCCUCGAAAGGUAAUAGUAAAUUAACAUGCCGUAGUCGGGCGUCGAGGCGACACCACAUAAAGGGCUUAUAUUGAAAAGUAAAUAACAGAACGUGCCACAGUCGGACGUCUAAGCGACAUCUCAUAAAGGGCUUAUAUUGAAAAGUAAAUAACAGAACGUGCCACAGUCGGACGUCUAAGCGACAUCUCGAAAAGGGCUUAUAAUGAAAAUAAAUCACAAAGAUGCCAUAGUCGGACGUCUGAGCGACAUCACAUAAAGGGCUUAUAGUUUAUCAUUCGAAUUUUAAAUAGCUCAUGAAUUUAAAUCAUCGCAAGGAAAUACUCAACGUAUAAUAAUAAACUGGUUAGUCCAUUCACAUAAAUAACCUUCAGCCAAGUUUACCACUCUCGGUUUUAUGUUUAUACUCCGGGGGCUGCCUCUGGGGUUGACACUGAGAUUUGCCACUGAGAUUGAAACUGAUACAGAGAUGAUGUCCAAGUCCUUGCUCGUGGACAUGGAUACUCGGAUGGUUUUGACUCUGCAGAGUUUGUACUCUUUACCACAGCAACGGAUUUCGGUAGUCACAAGGACUAGUUCUGUUUACGGUGUUUUAGAAGAAACACGUCUAACUAGUACAAACCCAUUCCACAUUCCGUUGCCAGGGAUCACCCUCGGCGACGUUCAAGAAAAACCUUAAGAUGGGGAGGCUACAACCUCGAAUAGCAUGGGAUCAAAUUUAUAUCGCGCGCUCUAAGGGGUGCCCCCCUCUCAGUCCCAACCGGAAACACCCAUGCCCCCUGACCGGAUAACUGGCUUUAAUCCAGGGCCAUGGAACCCUCAUCGCGGUCUCUCUGUUUGGUGUGUACCAGGAAAGAGGUUUGCAACUUACUAGACCGCACCCUUUGCAGAAAACAUGUGGCAGCACGAAGGGGAAACGAACGGGAUCGAGACUUGACCCACGUUAAAACUGGAGUUCACGGUUGACAUAAAACUGGCAUGCUUCAACAAUACCAGCCUACAACCCAUCAUGUCACCACAUGAUCGUGUUAUCUUAUCAUCAUAAGAACACAUCCAACUUCGAAGCUCACUUGUAGCUUGUCUUGCAUGCACAUAACAUUCACAAAUGCUUAUAUAAACAUGCCAUGAGAAAAACUACUCAAGCAAAUAUGCAAAACACUCAUCAUAUCAAAGGUUCAAACAUGCUUGCCUGGCUCGAAGAAGUCGGAGUCUAGCUCGGCGAAGUACGCGUCUCCUUUACCUCCUCCGGUAUCUACGUAUUAAAGAAAAUCAGAUACUACAUAAAUACCGCGCAUGCACAAAAAGUAUCCCAAAUAUUUUUCAAAUAAAUGUGACAAAAAACUAGACAGAAAAAUAAAGAUGACAAAAAAAGUUUCAAGUUAAAAUCAUCUUUUGUUUAAAAGUUAUAAGGGUUUUAGUCUAGGGACCUUUCUGUAAAUGAAAUAGAAAGUUUCCAGGGUUCACUUCAUAAAAACAGAAAACGUUUCAGUCUAGAAUACGUCAGUCCAGAGGGGAGACAUAUUUUGCCCGAAGGCGUUUUCAGAGAAUGUUUCAAAAAAAGAAAAAGCUGACGGGGAGGUCCCACCCGUCGGGUUUGAAAACCAGAAUAGGGCACUGGUGCCCGAGGGCCGCGGUGGUCGCCGGCGGCGAUCCACGGCGAGGCAAGGGGAUCGGAGGGUACCAACGUGUUCACCGUGUUCUUCCGCACCUGUGGGUGGUGGAGUUGAGCGUCGGCGAGCACCACGUCGACGGCGGCCCCAACUCCGGUGGACGGUGGUUCGGGUGAGGUUGAUUCUCUUCAAGCAGAGCUGCAAGCUUCAAAUUGGAGUGUGGGUUAGAAGUGUGGGUGCACUAGGAGGCUACGGGCAGCGUUAGGGAGGUGUGGGUGCCCUCACUGGCGCCGAUCGUGCCGGAGCUCGAAGCGGAUCGGGGCGGCCGGAGACGGAGAAGAAGACCCCCUCGAGGUCCUCCUAGUGGCUGGGCGUGGCUCUGGAGAGGUGUAGGGGUGAUGCCUGGUCGAGAUCGAGCUCGAGGCCCCCUUUUAUAGCCGGCCCGAGGCGGUGCCCGAGAACGGGAUAACUCCGGCGAUGGCUACGGCUGUGUAGAGGUUGAACUGGCCAUUUAGGGGAUUGGGCAGCUUAGUGAUGAUCCACUGGCUCCACUCAAACGCUAACCUUGGUGGGAUUUGGCCUGCUCCGCGGUUUCGACGGAACGGUGCCUCGCGAGCCCGUCGGCGGCAGAGAGCACGCUCUGUGCUUGCCAGGCCACGGCGACGGUGCCGCAGUCAUGCACAGAGGAGGGGGUGGACACGCGGAGGGCUCUGGUGGCUGGGGCGGUGCCGGACGGCACCGAAAGGCAGGGCCGGCCUCUGUUGGCCGCCACGGGUGGCUCUGCCACCGCAGAAGACAUCGGAGCUGGCGAGCCACGUCGCCACCGACGCCCGCGCCCGGCCAAGCGAGUGUGUGGCGCACUGGAUAAGGAGGGGGAGCAGUGAGCAUUGAUCCAAGGAGGCUACUGGCGAGAUUGUCGACGGGUUCUGACGAAAUGACACUAUCGACUGAACCCAGACACUGAAUCUCUGAACUUUUCCUGAAUUCAGACAGAAACAGUGCAUGCCAGGUGUUCGAUGAAAUGUUUUUGUCAUGUGGGAAAUUUUUCUGGAGCUGAUCUUCGGUGAGGUGGCCUCUUGGUGUAUCUGGAAGCUGUAUGAAUUAUCUCAGAAUUUUUGAAAAAGGAAAAUAUGGAUUUCAUCGAAAAUGGCAUUUCUGGUCCAAACUUGCAGUGGGCAAAAUUUGAAAUUUUUGAACUGAGGACAAGUGGAUCUUGAUGGAUCUAGGUUGGAGGUACUAAGGACUAGUUAGAGGAGUUUGUUUGGAGUUAAAACUCAAAAGGAAACUUGUAGUUCCUUUGCAAAUCACCUAGGUCCAAAACAAAUCACAGAAAUAGUUUUGAGGUUAAAAUAAAUUGAAUAGAAAACAAAAAUGGCUUGAAACUUGCUGGAGGUGGGGUCUUGCCUUGAUCUAAGGCAGGGAUGGGUUUUGGAAUGCUAUGUCAAAAUGUGACAUAGAAAAAGAGGAAAUGUUGAAUGGGGAAAAGAAUAACCCAUAAUCCCUAGGGUUUCUUUUUAAUAGAAGGAAAUUCAGAAAAUAAAUUUGAUUAGAGUCAAGACAACAUGAAAAGUUCUCAAGACCAAAAAUCAAGGUUGAGAAGAGUACCAAAAUAUUUGUCAUAAAAGUUUUGAGAGGGAGAGGGUUUAAGAAAAAAUUUAAAUAUCCUCCUCCAAAUCAAAUAAAGAUUUUGAUAAAAACCAAAUCAAAAUUUUUGGAGUGUUACACUGGUGCGGCCUAGGCAGGCGUCGGCGCAGGUCAACGCGAGGCAGGGGAAGCAACGAGGCUGCACCGAACGAGGUGGAGCAAGCUCGAUGGAGGGGCACCAGCGAUAGCGCGAUUCCAAUGACGAAGGGCUCUAGGACGACGCGGCAGUGGCGGAUCCAGGUGCGGGGAGCCCGUUCCCGGCCAGACCUGGCGGCUAGACGACAGGGUCGAGGCGGAGCUUGAGCAUGGCGGCCAUGGGGGUACCUGCGCAACCAGGACAGAGAGAGUGGUUGAUCAUGAGAGAGAGGGAGGCAACCAAAGGAAGAGAGACGGCGAGGGACGGCACAACCUGGUCUCCAGCAAGGAAGUCGGCGAGACGCGCAAGGCGGUUGGGUCACGGGCACACAUGUGGUUGCCUCCAUUGGAGGAGCUCGGGAGGCUGUGGGAGCUCCCUGGCGGCGGCGAUUGACCCGGGCCCGAGCGGGCCUGGAUCUGGGCUUGGAGGGCCUGCAUGUGGAGAGGUGGGAUGUGGCGACUGAGGGGGUGGAGGAGGCUGGCGGUGGCGCGGAUUUCGAGGAUGAGGGUAGGGUUUCCAAAUCUGGAGGCCUAGGCCUUCUUUUUAUAGCAUGGAGGGCUAGGUUUGUUGUCUGAGGGGGCUUCGAAGUCAUCCGAUCGCAAUCUGACGGUCGGGAAAAUAGGUUAGGGGAGUCCAACGAAGAAACUACAUAUACUUUCAGGAUGUUAGGUGUUGAUCCGGACCCAUCUAAAAUGACUGUGCGGGUCAGGUCCGGGGGAGUUUCGGACACGCACGCAAGGUUGCGAAGGGGGGUCCAUGGCUGUGCAGAUAGGUAAGGCGAUCAAACAAGAGGGAAACGAGAACCCGGUUGAUCUGAGAAAAGUCAACGGAGAAAGGGGAAUGCAGCAACUACUAACAUAUGCAAGCUUUAAAACAAUGACGGCAAUGAGUGUCGAUGCAAUGCGAAUGAUGCGAUGUUGAAUGCAACAAACAAAUGGAACACACGGCGACCACGAAAUACAUGGAAGGCGUCUGGAGCGUCGGUCUUGGGGCGUCACACGUACCUCAGCCCCUGGCGUAGCCCUUCCCCCUCCUACACCUCCUCCUCCUCUAUUGAGCUUGGCGAAGCUCUGUCGGAGAACCACGAGCUCCACCACCACGCCAUCGUGCUGCCGGAGUUCUCCCUCAACUUCUCCUCUUCCCUUGCUGGAUCAAGAAGGAGGAGACGUCCCCGGGCUGUACGUGUGUUGAACGCGGAGGCGCCGUCCAUUCGGCGCUAGAUGGAUCUGCUGCGAUUUGAAUCGCCGCGAGUACGACUCCAUCAACCGCGUUCCUUGCAACGCUUCCGUUUAGCGAUCUUCAAGGGUAUGAAGAUGCACUCUCUCUCUCUCAUUGCUAGCAUCUCCUAGAUUGAUCUUGGUGACACGUAGGAAAAUUUUAAAUUAUUACUACGUUCCCCAACAGAGGGCGCCAUGGAGAAGGUGAGGUGGGUGGCAUCCGUUUUUAAAGGAGAGGGCUUCAACGAUAAAUGUCCCGCUACGGCGGAAAACCGAGUGGGAAAGGGGUCGGCAGGAAAAAGGAAGGGUGCAUCGUGGGGUGAUGUUUUUUGUGUUGGGACCAUGUGUUGGAGAUAACAUGACAGAUAGUCCGGACAACCAUGCAUAUUUCUCCCCACAUAUGGGCUAGAUUUGAGGGAGCCCGGAUUAACCACACAAUUUUAGAGAGGCCGUUGGGCACCCAUUUGAUGUUCGAACUUGACCGGACGUAUGAAGGAGAAAUGAGCAUGAGUUUUGAUCUUGGAGACUAUCUUAAUUAUUUGUUUGAUUCAUUUAUAUGCAUUAUAGUCUGUAGCAACGCACGGGCAUUCUACUAACAGGGCCACCACAUGCAACAUGCUAAAUUAGCCUGAAACACAAGAUGUCUGUUACACAAUUAGUCCUGCCAUUUAUUUGUUUGUUUUGUUUUCUUGGUAUCUGAAAAAUGAGAGUGGUAUUACUCUUAUAAAAGUUGUUGGAGUACCCGCCUCUUGGGGCACCUCGCGUCGUUGUCUGCCUGGCGCCUUCCUUACUGCCUGAUUGAGCAUGGGCGGCCUAAGGUUCCACGCGCGAAGAUGCCUCAUCUGGCGGCCCUUGCCUUGCCCUACGUGUGUCGUUUCAUGGGGUAGAGGUGUUUGUCGCAUGAGGAGCUAGCCCAGUUAUAUGUGUGCGUGCCAGCUCAUGUGCUGGUUUUGGCAACUGAUGUUUGGCCACCAGGCAGAGGCGGUCGUCUUUCUUGGACCUCACCCGACUAUCCCACCUAACACCCGUAUGGUUGUUUGGGUCGGUGCGUUGGGAAUGUUGCGGAGCGAGCCAAUGAAUCCACCACCAAUGAAUCAACGCUCACCACAUCACUACGUGCUUCAGAACAUCCACACCACCACCGACCUGGUGCUCCAUCACAAGAUUUGGCUCCAAGAAAAUAGUUUCAAUGAAGUAAUGACACCAUGGGUGCCACCAUCAGACACGAUUUUCACCGGGAGACAACAUCUUAAGGUUAAGAGUGAUGUCAAAUCCCCUCGGUGACGCCUCCAACAAGAAAAAUCACACCCAAUGACAUCAUUCGCCACCAGUCCCGACCAUAGUCGAGCAUGACUUUCGUCGGGAGAAUCGAGCACCUAUGUGGGGAAUGACGUCCAAACACACCACCACCACACCGACGCCAGCACAAGCGUUGUACCGUAAAUCACUGGCUGGAGCACAAGGCCUAGAUCGACGCCACCGCAGUCCGACAUCUCAUCGGGAGUCACCACACAGCCAUCAAGCAACGCAACCACCAAUAAUUAUCACUACCUUCAGCCUUGUUUAUUAGUCUCAAUUGUAUUUUGGGUCAAACUUUGACCUUUGAUUUAACUACUAAAAGUAAGUUUUAUACUGCAAAAAAUGUACCACUGAAAAUCUCUUUCUAAUACGAAUCCAACAAUGUAAAUUUUGUGACAUACAACUUAUAUUUUGUUAGUCAAAUAUACGGUCAAAAUUUGAUACAAAUACGAAGGGGGCCAGUAAACCUAAACAGAGGUAGUAUAUGGAAAUUAUGGAAUAGAGGGAGUAUUUGUUAUAUUCUAGAUGUUUAUUACUCCCUACGUGCCAAAAUAUUUGUCAUGGCUAAAACCACAACAAGUAUUUUGGAAUGGAGAGAGUAUACGAAAAUAUAUUUAUUAUAUGAAAAUAUAAUGGAACGAAUGGACAAUAUAUUUUCAGAUAAUUUGAACCAAGUACUAUAUGGUAUUGUUUCAUGAUGCAUCUAAUGGUAUUUUUUUGUGUUAUAAAUUUUGAUAAAUUUUAAUCUAAUUUAGUGGAAGUUUACAAAUUUUAACUUUAAAAGAAUGAAAUGCACACUAUAUUUUCAGGAUGAAAGGAGUAUGUGUCACACACACAAAUACAUACACAUAGUUGCAACAGAGGAGGAAUAUCAUCAUGCAAUAUUAGAGAUGGCUUUGCUACGACAACCGGAAAAAUGCUUUGCGUGAACACCAAAUCUCUAAGCAUAAUUUCCAUUAUACUUAGUCUAAAAAGGCAGGAGAAAAGUAAUGAAAGGUGACUAGCUAGAAUAAUUGAGAAUGAGGGUAAUAAGCUAUAGGAAUGAAAUACCAUGACUAGCAAAGCCGAGUGAGAAAAACAAAAAAGAUGAAAACCUGAGUAAAAAUAAUGAAUAACAGAUCCAGGACGGGUAGAACGAAACUGUGAAUAAAUGAACAACGAACAAAUAGAGUGAUGACUCAACAAGGAGAAUGAAGAAAGAGACAGACUCAAGAAAGAGAAUGAGUUUUGUUCCCAGUUUUGACAGAGAAGUGAAGAGAAGUACCAUUUCCAGCCCAGAGAGAAGAUAGAUGAAACAAAGUGCACACUGCCCUUCCAAAACGAUGUAUUAGAUGAAGUAGAAACACUCUGACAUCUGGAAUCUUUAAGUGCACGUGUGCUGAAAAGCGUUUAUUUCCUGAACUCUGACAUCUUGGAAGCGGUGCUGGGAAGCCACCCGAGCCAGCUUUGGCGCACCAUCAUAGAGGGAAGAGAUAUAUUGAAAUAAUGUUUGGAUUAGGGGGUGAAUGUUGGAGUAAUCCAAACAUAUGGUGAUUAGAUUAGGUAAAUUGAGUUAGUACUAGAUGAAGCAGCUUGUGCUACGUGUGCUUGUCCGAGCGAGUUUUGGUUAGUCUUGUAAGCGUCAGUCCUGUUAGGAGUCCAGUCGUUGUAUUAGAGUAGGACUAGGCUGAGCCCGGUUAGCUUUGUUAGUAUGUGUCCGUGUAGAUUAGGAAUUUUGAGUUCAGGUCGGUGACGUGGAGUCAGGUCCAGCAUCUAUAUAUAGAUGGGCAGGUGCGUGAGAUUUGUAACCGUGAAAAGUACACAGAGAAAAGAGGAGAAAAGCAAUAAAGAGGAAUUUAGAGGGUACGAGACGUACCUUUGGCUAUCAGUUUCGUGUGUGCGUGUCUUCGUGCAAUUUUAUGUGAUCGAUUCUGAGGGCGAAUUUCCAACAAUCUGGAAUCUUUAAGUGCACGUGUGCUGAAAAGCGUUUAUUUCCUAAACUCUAACAUCUUGAAAGCGGUGCUGGGAAGCCACCCGAGCCAGGUUUGGCGCGCCAUCAUAGACGGAAGAGAUAUAUUGAAACAAUGUCUGAUCAAGCGGAUUGGCAAUGGUGCAGAUACAAAUAUAUGGACGCAAAACUGGUUACCUAGAGAGGAGAUGAUGCGGCCAUAUAGAUGCAUCACACCGAACCCUCCCACUAUGGUUUUCGAGCUCAUUACCAGUGUGACCGCGUCCUGGAAUAAACAGCUUAUCCAAACAACUUUUAUGCCGAUGGAUGCACAGGUUAUACUUGGGAUACCCUUGUGCACACGGAAUGUCGAUGACUUUUGGUCUUGGCACUACGAAAAGCAUGGCUCUUUUUCUGUGAAAUCAGCAUAUAACAUGCUCGUCGCUACAAGGAACCAAAGAGAGGCAUGGCUUGAGGAAGUCCCAGGAUCAUCCAGCUCCAGGGCUGAGGAGGAGGUUUGGAAAACCUUGUGGAAAACUGCAGUGCCGAGCAAAGUACGGAUGUUCUUAUGGAGAUUGUCGAAACACUCACUUCCGACAAAUGAUGUUCGCGCUCACCGUCAUAUGGCCGACUCUCCACAGUGCGGCCUGUGCGGAGUCCGUGACUCCUGGCGCCAUUCACUCUUGAAAUGCACGUCGUCUAGAAGUGUUUGGGCUCUCAUGGAUGAGGAGACUACACAUAAAAUCAUAGAAACAUCGGAGCCCAAGGCAAAGCAGUGGUUAUUCACACUAAUGGAGUUGCUAUCUCAUGAGGAUUUUGUGUUGGUCGCCGUAACUUUAUGGGCCAUAUGGCAUUCCAGGCGUAAGGCGAUUCAUGAAGCUAUAUUCCAAAGUCCCCAUACGACUCAUGGUUUCAUCACAAGGUUUAUAGCUGACCUUGGUAUUGUUAACGAGAAAAACGAAAGAGGGGCGGCGACAGUCGUCACACACGAUCAGGCGCAUACACGGCCAAGGAACCCACCAAUAGGACAUUUCAAGAUACAUGUGGAUGCGGGAGUGGCAGGUAGAAGGGGAGGAUCAGUUGCGGAUGUUUGCAGAGAUGAAGAAGAAAAUUACAUGGGUAGCUCAGCCCUUGUUGUCGAAGGGGUCACGGACCCAGCCUCCCUUGAAGCGAUGGCAUGUCGGGAGGCCUUGGCCCUUGCAGAGGAUCUUGGAAUCCAAAACCUGGUGGUGGCUUCGGAUUGCCAACAGGUGGUAUCUGACAUCAAUAAAAAUGCUAGGAGAACAUAUGGAGCGAUUGUUAGCGAGAUUAAUCUGAGAGCACCUCCUUUGCACUGUACUUUUGUGUUUGAGAGUCGUGUUGUUAAUGUUGAAGCACAUCGUUUAGUCAAGUUUUCUUUUUCUAGAGGUCCAAGACGCCAUGUUUGGUUUGAUGCUCCUCAUGAUAUCAGAUGUAUCCCACUUUAUGUGGAUUUUCAUGAAUAAAGUUGGGUUUUACCCUAAAAAAAGAUGAAGUAGAAAGAAAAACGUUGCACGUAACAAGAAAAAUACCUUGUAAACAAUCCACUCCGAGUGCCAUUCUAGUCUAGAGUAACCUGAGUAAACAAAUCCACUUAAGAUGCGGAUUACGAUUAAUUAACGAUUUGUGACAGUGCAACUAUGCGAUCCAUAUAAGCAGAGGAGGAGCACGAUUUUGCUUAACGCGAGAUUAUUAGCUGCUAAUUCGAUUCCAUCCGACCAUGGACCUCCGCUGGUCCGUCGAGGUCAAGGGCGGCGAGACCCUGAGAUCAGCGCCCGUGCUGAACGGCCGCCGCGGCGUCGUCACCCACGUGUCCCUCGUCCACCCGCCGCCGAGCGCAGCUGGCGGCGGACAGCGCGUCGAAGUCGUGGAAGCCUACGUCAAGACCGUCGACGGCACCCUCGAGCUCGCGUCGCUGUCGUCCGAGAGGCCGCGCGCGGAGCUGCCGCGACCGGUGCUGGUGAUGGGCCUCGAUCUCUUCUGCUCUCGCGUGAGGCGACAGGGCGGCGACCCCACUGGUGAUGUGGCGGUCGCCGUUCGGUUUGAGGGUCUCUUCAACGACGGUUACGUUCUUCCUCCGCCGUUGGAGGACGAAGAGGAUCAUAUGCUGUGGUCGUCGGAGGAUGACGACGAUGACGACAGCGGGGCCGAGGACGACGAGUCGGUGGGUUCGGAUUCGGAAGACUACGACGAAGAUGACAGCAGCGGCGAGGAGGAGGAGAGCGACGACGAGGUUGACGGACAAGCGGCCAUGGAGAGCAGCGCCCACAAUGACAUGCUGCUACAGAUGGUACACCCCAGCAAGUUCGUCCUCGAGGGAGGUUCGGCGCCGCGGUUCGCCGCCGCUGGGAAGACGGCCGGCUUCAUGCAGGUCGCCGCCACGGAGAGGCAAGACGAAGCCGACCUCAUGCAGAUCCUCGUGCUCUUCCGCUACACCCGCUUCUCGCCAUCAUCGUGCGGCGUGGAAGCGCGCAGGAGCACGAAAGAGCACCAGCUCCGGUUCAUAGCCACAGGCGAACACACGGCGAGGUCGCUGGAGUGGGCCGGAUCGUCGCUGGGCCUGCUGAUAUACCCCCAUGGCUUCAGGAAGAAGCUCCAGGAGCUAUGGUCCAGCUUGGCGUCGAAGGUGAGCGUCCCGCCGGGAGCAAGACGCGUCGAGGUGUUCGUCGACGUUGGCCUCCUCCGGCGAGCGGACUACACGCUAGCGAGCAUGCGGCACAUGUGCGCCGCGCUGGAGGGCAUGGUGGCGAAGCCGUGGCCCGGGCGCUUCACCGGCAUGGAGCUGCACUUGCCAGAGCCGGUGCGGUGCACCAGGGACGCCGACGAGCGGCCGGCAAAGCAGAGGAAGGUCGUUGCAGCCGGGCAGGAGUGCUGCAAGGACGUCGGUGAGCAGCCGGCGAACCGAAGGAGGGUUGUUGCCGCCGGGGAGGAUUGCCCCGUCUGCUGGCAGCUGCUGGAGGGCGACGACCUCGCCGCGUGGCCGGGCUGCGGCAAGCCCCACGUCUUCCAUGGCGCGUGCCUGGAGCAAGUCCUCAAGAUGAGCGAGACGUGCCCGCUUUGCAGGCGCAACCUGUACAUCGAGCCCAAGAUGGUAGCCGCCAGCUACACCUAGUACGGGAGUCGCAUGGUUGUACUGAAAAGUAUGUACAGUGUAUCAAUCUCUUGUAACUAUAGUUUGCUCGAAUGUUCUUCAGAUUUGUUUUUGUUUCUCUGAAGGAUAGCAUUCAUUCACCUGAUUGACGAUGUAUUCACGACUUCAUAUAUCCAUGGAUUACGUCCUGUGUAUUUGUGUAUUAAUUAGUGUCAUAUAUCCAUGGAUGGCAAGGGGAAAGAACAUGUGUGUUCCGUGGCAAACAUGAAACAGUAGAUCACUUGUUCUUUACAUGUUCUGCAGCAGCUCUAAUUUGGAGUCUUAUGCAAUGUACUUUUGGUCUAAAAAAGACUCCCUCUAAUAUUGAGGAGUGUCUGGGACCUUGGAUUAAAACUUUUUCCAAAGAAUAUAAAAAAACUUGGGUUAGUUGGUGUUUCUGCCCUGUUCUGGACACUAUGGAAGUGCAGAAAUGGGGUGAUUUUUUUUAAACGCGGUCCCUUAUGGUCCGAUUCAUUAAAAAAGGUCGAAGAGAAUAGCCAGGUUAAUUAAUGGAAAACCGAGUGAAAAUCGUUACAACACGCCCGAAAAACAAGGUCACCCAAAUCGAGUGAAAAUCGUUACAACACGCCCGAAAAACAAGGCACACAGGGUGACCUGGCAACCCACACAAGAACGCACACACGCCGCCAGAGAGAAAAGCAUCGUCGAGGUUGCAACCGGUGUCAUCGUCAUCACACCUCCGCGAGGGCGACUCCGACUCCACCAUCGACGACCAGCGAAGAAGCCCUCACCACAAACAAGCGUCGAGGCCUGCGUCGGUCGAUGCCAAACAGUCAGCCACACACGCCGGCGACCAGGCAGCUCCGACUCUGUCGACGAGCAUUGCAGGAGAAAAGCGUUGGGCUUGCGCCGAGCCAGCGCCAGAGCGGCGACCCCUCGAACACGCCGGAAGAGACCGACUACCAAGACCCAUCAGCAAGCCAGCUCCACUCGAAGCCACAUCGUUGCCACACAAGAAGCUGCGCAGAACAAUCACAUCGCCGGACGGACACCUGCCGACCGCGAUGUCGCGAGCGUCCAGCCCAUGGAGCGUGCAAACGGGAUCCAAAGUUCUUCCACGCGACGCCCCAAAGAGGGAAGCGACGAUGUCGACGCCGUCGCCCGACCCGACUGGGUCUUAGGCUUUCGCCCGAAGAACUGGAUCCAAGGGUGCGUGAAGGGUGGACUCCACGGCGGCGCCUCCAAGGAGGUGAAACGACGUCCAUAGACGCCGACGCUGUCGGCCGGCAAGAGCGCGGCAAAGCUUUCGCCCGGAGCAACACCCACACCCCCACGCAUAGCACCUUCGCUGACCCGCACACCUCCCACGAAGCCAUCGCGCCAUGGCCAAGCAGGAGCCACCACAAUCCUCGCCGCCAGCCAGAUGCCGACGAGCCGAACAUGGCCGAAACAAGCCAGAUCCAGCAACCCACUGCCGCUGCAGCGCCACAGAAGAGCCCCUAGCAGGGAGGGAGGGCCGCCACCCCACCCCAACUCACCGGACGAGCUACCAGAUCAGCAGCCGGCCGACCGAAGCCCCAGCCUGAACCACCACGGCACCUAGCCGGAGAAGACGCUGCAGGAGGCCUCCAAGACGCGCAACAGAGGAGCCGAGCCUCCCUCCACCGUCCGCGCCAGCCGCCGCCCGCGGAUCCCAGAUCGGAUCGGGACCGAACAGGCCCGACGACCGCGACCUCGCGCACCGCGACGGUGCGCCCACCACCGCGACCAGACGUCGCGCCGCACGCCGAAGACCGCCUCCACCGCGAGCAAGGACGUUGCCCCGGAGCCGAACGCCGGAUAGCCGCCACCCACACGCGAGAUCCCCUCCUCCCGAGCGAGCAACAGCCAGAGAGCACCCCGCCGCCGACGGCUCCGCGCAGGCUUUGCCUGCCGGAGGCCACCGGCGACGGCGAGGAGGAGAGGGGCUGGUGAGGGGAGGCUGCGGGAGGGGCGGGGGUCGCCGCCCGUGUCGCCCUGGGGAGGGAGCGGCGCGGGGGCAGAAGCUCUCCUAAAGGUUGCUUUAUGGGGUGAUUUUGGAUAAGAAAAACUUUAUUGAUCCAAUGACACUGAUCAAGAUAGUGUGCCACUAGAUUAUGGAUUGAUCUAUUUUGCAGAUAAAAGAGCAACGAAGAAGGGUAAUGUAGUUGGGCACAAAACUGCUAGAAUGGAUCGCAAUUGAGGUGUAUAGAGCUUCACAAGGAUGAAGAUUCAAUGUGGUGCGUCUGGAAUAACGAGAUCUUCAUCUGAAGCUUGGUGUUCAUGCCCUGGCACCUGUGCUAGUACACUAGUAGAAAAGGGGGCAAAGGUCCAGGCCGGGUCAGCCCAUUAGUCCCGGGUCAGCCCAGAACCGGGACCAAUGGGGGCAUUGGACCCGGUUCGUGAGCCCAGGGGGCCGGCCGGGCCACGUGGGCCAUUGGUCCCGGUUCGUCUGGACCUUUUGUUCCCGGUUGGUGUGACGAACCGGGACCAAUGGGCCUCGCUCCUGGCCCACCAUCAUUGGUCCCGGUUGGUGGCUUGAACCGGGACCAAAGGCUCCCCUUUAGUCCCGGUUCAUGCCACCAACCAGGACCAAUGAGGUGCCUAUAUAUACCCCCUCGCGUAAGAGCAGAGCACACUGCUCUGUUUUUUCUGGCCGAGGGGGAGAGGGCUUGGUGGUGCUCUAGCUCACCUCCUAUGCACACAAGGUGUUCGAUGGAAUGCCCGAGCCACACUACUUAAGCUUUCUUCUCUGCAAGCUCCAUUUUCCUCAAUAUUUAUCUAGAUUUAGCGGUCCGUCACACCUCGUCCCCGUCUUCACCGUCGUCGAUCACCCGCGCCGAGCUCAUCGCCGGCACCACCGUGGUGAGCCUCUUGUUCUUAUAUUCUUUCUGAAAGGAAAAAAUAUUCUUACUUGUAUGUUUACAUAGAUACUUGUAUUAUUUUCUUACUUUUAUUAUUGCAUCUUAUAUAGUGCGAUGGUUUUGGUAUCCGCCCCCGUCGGCCCUCGUUCUGUCUAUGAUUCGGAUGUGGUAUAUAUAUUAUCUUUAUAACUAUUGGUUCAUUUAUUGUUUAUGAAAAUUACACCGACCAACGUGACAUAGAUUUUAUUUAUGUAGGAUGUAUGUGAAUCGGAAAUUCCAACCGACCCUAUUGUCGAGAGGUUAAAUUUAGUUGAAGAAGAAAACAAUUUGUUGAAGGAAAAAAUAAAAAAAAAUGAGGAGGAGAAGAUGAUAUUGGAGUUGCAUGUUGCGGAUGUCGUCGAUGAUCACAAGAUCAAGAUGGAUGCAAUGCGCUUGAAGAUUAGAAAGAUUAGAAAAUAUGUCAUUCAUACCGAGGCUUGGUAUCAUUAUGCCGUUGGAUCAAUUGUUACCUUGAUUGCGAUUAUGAUCGCAUUUGUUUUCGCAUUGAAAUGUUUUACAUAGUUUCAAUGUAUGGUUUAAUUAAUUAGAUGCUCUGGAGAGCUAUAUGUUGUUAGAUGAGAACUAUGUAUGUACUUUGGUUUAAUGUGAUGAUGAACUUCUAUUAAUUUGGACACUUAAUUAUAUAUAAUGCACGCAGAUGAACCGGCAAUGGAUGUACGGUGACAGACACACCUCCGAGUGCAUUAAGGGCGUGCAUGAGUUUCUCAAUUCGGCUGAGGCAAACAAGCAGAAUGGUUUUAUGUGUUGUCCAUGCACUGAAUGUGGGAAUACAAGGUCUUACUCUAACCGGAAAAUCCUUCACUCCCACCUGCUUUACAAGGGUUUCAUGCCACACUAUAAUGUUUGGACGAGGCAUGGAGAAAUAUGGGUUAUGAUGGAAGACGACGAAGAAGAAGAGUACGAUGACAACUAUGUGCCCCCUGAAUACGGUGAUGCUGCAACGGGGGGAGCUGGUGAAGAUCAAGAGGAACCAGAUGAUGUGCCCAAUGAUGCUGCAACAGGUGAAGCUGCUGAAGAUCAAGAGGAACCAGACGAUGUGCCCGAUGAUGAUGAUCUCCGCCGGGUCAUUGUCAAUGCAAGGACGCAAUGCAAAAGUCAAAAGGAGAAGCUGAAGUUCGAUCGCAUGUUAGAGGAUCAAAAAAAAGGGUUGUACCCCAAUUGCGAAGAUGACAACACAAAGCUCGGUAACUUACUGGAAUUGCUGCAGUGGAAGGCAGAGAAUGUUGUGGCUGACAAAGGAUCUGAGAAGCUACUGAAAAUAUUGAAAAAGAAGCUUCCAAAGGAUAACGAAUUGCCCGACAGUACAUACACAGCAAACAAGGUCGUAUGCCCUCUAGGAUUGGAGGUGGAGAAGAUACAUGCAUGCCCUAAUGACUGCAUCCUCUAUCGCGGUGCAUACAAGGAUCUGAACGCAUGCCCGGUAUGCGGUGCAUUGCGGUAUAAGAUCAGACGUGAUGACCCUGGUGAUGUUGACGGCGAGCCCCCCAGGAAGAGGGUUCCUGCAAAGGUGAUGUGGUAUGCUCCUAUAAUACCACGGUUGAAACGUCUGAUCAGAAACGAAGAGCAUGCCAAGUUGAUACGAUGGCACAGUGAGGACCAUAAGAAAGACGGGAAGUUGAGAGCACCCGCUGACGGGUCGCAGUGGAGAAAAAUCGAGAGAAAGUGCUGGGAUGAGUUUGCAAAGGACCCAAGGAAAGUAUGGUUUGUUUUAAGCGCGGAUGGUAUUAAUCCUUUCGGGGAGCAGAGCAGCAAUCACAGCACCUAGCCCGUGACUCUAUGUAUGUAUAACCUUCCUCCUUGGAUGUGCAUGAAGCGGAAGUUUAUUAUGAUGCCAGUUCUCAUCCAAGGCCCUAAGCAACCCGACAACGACAUUGAUGUGUACCUAAGGCCAUUAGUUGAAGAACUUUUACAGCUGUGGAAUGGAAACGGUGUACGUACGUGGGAUGAGCACAGACAGGAGGAAUUUAACCUAAAGGCAUUGCUGUUCAUGACCAUCAACGAUUGGCCUGCUCUUAGUAACCUUUCAGGACAGACAAACAAAGGAUACCACGCAUGCACACACUGUUUAGAUGACAGUGAAAGUAUAUACCUGGACAAAUGCAGGAAGAAUGUGUACCUGGGCCAUCGUCGAUUUCUUCCGACCAACCAUCAAUGUCGAAAGAAAGGCAAGCAUUUCAAAGGCGAGGCAGACCACCGGAAGAAGCCCGCCAUGCGUACUGGUGAUCACGUACUCGCUAUAUGAUCAAUGAUUUACACGUAAUAUUUGGAAAGGGUCCCGGCGGACUAGCUGUUCCGAAUGACGCUGAGGGACACGCACCCAUGUGGAAGAAGAAAUCUAUAUUUUGGGACCUACCCUACUGGAAAGACCUAGAGGUCCGCUCUUCAAUCGACGUGAUGCACGUGAUGAAGAACCUUUGCGUGAACCUGCUAGGCUUCUUGGGCGUGUAUGGGAAGACAAAAGAUACACCUGAGGCACGGGAGGACCUACAACGUUUGCACGAAAAAGAUGGCAUGCCUCCGAAGCAGUAUAAAGGUCCUGCCAGCUACGCUCUUACGAAAGAAGAGAAAGAAGUCUUCUUUGAAUGCCUGCUCAGUAUGAAGGUCACGACUGGCUUCUCGUCGAAUAUAAAGGGAAUAAUAAAUAUGUCAGAGAAAAAGUUUCAGAACCUAAAGUCUCAUGACUGCCACGUGAUUAUGACGCAAUUGCUUCCGGUUGCAUUAAGGGGGCUUCUACCGAAAAACGUCCGAUUAGCCAUUGUGAAGCUAUGUUCAUUCCUCAAUGCAAUCUCUCAGAAGGUGAUCGAUCCAGAAAUCGUACCAAGGCUAAAGAGUGAUGUGGCGCAAUGUCUUGUCAGUUUCGAGCUGGUGUUCCCACCAUCCUUCUUCAAUAUCAUGACGUACGUCCUAGUUCAUCUAGUCGACGAGAUUGUCAUUCUGGGGCCCGUAUUUCUACACAAUAUAUUCCCCUUUGAGAGGUUCAUGGGAGUCCUAAAGAAAUAUGUCCAUGACCGCGCUAGGCCAGAAGGAAGCAUCUCCAUGGGCCAUCAAAUAGAGGAUGUUAUCCGGUUUUGUGUUGACUUUAUUCCUGGCCUUAAGAGGAUAGGUCUCCCUAAAUCGCGGUAUGAGGGGAGACUGGCUGGAAAAGGCACUCUUGGAAGUGACUCAAUAAUAUGCAGGGACGGAUAUUCUUGGUCUCAAGCACACAACACAGUUCUACAGAACUCUAUCUUGGUGACCCCGUAUGUCGAUGAACACAAGAACAGUCUGCGCUCCAAACACCCGGAGCAGUGCGACAACUGGAUUACAUGUGAACACAUCAGGACUUUCAGCAGUUGGUUGGAAACACGUCUCAGAGGUGACAACACUGUUUGUGAUGAGCUGUACUUGUUGUCCAGGGGACCAUCUUUGGCUGUAUUGACUUACAAAGGAUACGAGAUAAUGAGAAUACAUUUUACACGAUCGCCCAAGAUCAAAAGAGCACCAGCCAAAACAGCGGUGUCCGCUUUGAUGCAGCAACCGAGAGCGGAAAGGACACAUAUUAUGGUUACAUAGUGGACAUAUGGGAACUUGACUACGGACAUGAUUUUAAGGUCCCUUUGUUUAAGUGUGAAUGGGUCAAUCUGUCAGGAGGCGGGUACAGGUAGACCCACAGUACGGAAUGACAACAGUGGAUCUGAAAAAUCUUGGGUACACUAAUGAAUCGUUCGUCCUAGCCAAUGAUGUGGCAUAGGUUAUCUAUGUGAAGGACAUGUCUACCAAACCGAGAAAAUGAAAAGAUAAGGAAGCGAAUACAUCAUAUGAUGAGCCAAAGCGCCACAUAAUUCUUUCAGGAAAAAGGGACAUCCUGGGAGUGGAGGGCAAGACAGACAUGUCUGAAGAUUAUGAAAAGUUUCAUGAAAUUCCUCCCUUCAAUGUCAAGGCUGACCCAAGCAUCCUGAUAAACGAUGAAGAUUAUCCAUAGUUACGGCACAAUAAGCAAAUGACACAAGCGAAGAAAAAGUAAAGACUUUCUUCCGCAACUAUUAUGAUGAUACCACGCCAACUUUGUAACACACGAGUAUGCUAUGCCAACUUUUUCAGAGUUCAUUUGAAAACUAUGAAUUUAGGUCGAAUUUUCUCUAUAGGUGCAUCUAUGUUCAUUUUUUAGUAAAGUUAAUCACAAACUUGUGAUUCACACAAAUUUCAAAGAAUUCAAAUUUUAACUAUUCAAAUUUGAAAACUAAUGGUACUAACAGAAAGUUUAUAAUUUUUCUAAAACUAAUGGCACUAACAAAAAGUUUAUAAUUUUGCUGACCUAAAAGCAAAAGGAAAUAAAAAAUAAAGCAANNNNNNNNNNNNNNNNNNNNNNNNNNNNNNNNNNNNNNNNNNNNNNNNNNNNNNNNNNNNNNNNNNNNNNNNNNNNNNNNNNNNNNNNNNNNNNNNNNNNNNNNNNNNNNNNNNNNNNNNNNNNNNNNNNNNNNNNNNNNNNNNNNNNNNNNNNNNNNNNNNNNNNNNNNNNNNNNNNNNNNNNNNNNNNNNNNNNNNNNNNNNNNNNNNNNNNNNNNNNNNNNNNNNNNNNNNNNNNNNNNNNNNNNNNNNNNNNNNNNNNNNNNNNNNNNNNNNNNNNNNNNNNNNNNNNNNNNNNNNNNNNNNNNNNNNNNNNNNNNNNNNNNNNNNNNNNNNNNNNNNNNNNNNNNNNNNNNNNNNNNNNNNNNNNNNNNNNNNNNNNNNNNNNNNNNNNNNNNNNNNNNNNNNNNNNNNNNNNNNNNNNNNNNNNNNNNNNNNNNNNNNNNNNNNNNNNNNNNNNNNNNNNNNNNNNNNNNNNNNNNNNNNNNNNNNNNNNNNNNNNNNNNNNNNNNNNNNNNNNNNNNNNNNNNNNNNNNNNNACUGGAAAAAAAUAGCAACAAUAAGUAUUUUGUUGUAAGUAGAAACAAAAUAAAAUAAAUAAAGCAAUAAAAAAAGUGUUUUCAAAUUUGAAAACUAAUGGCACUAACAGAAAGUUCAUAAUUUUUCUAAAACUAAAAGCAAAAAAGAAUUAAAAAAUAAAUAAAAACAAAAGAAAAUAAAUAAUGCAGAAAACAAAAGAAAAAAACUGGAAAAAAAAUAGCAACAAUAAGUUUUUUUUGUAAGUAGAAACAAAAUAAAAUAAAUAAAGCAACAAAGAAAAAAAAGUGCCACCUACUAGGCCCCCACAGCCUGAAUACGACUAGAAACCCUACCAUGGGUCAGGAUUCAGGCCCGUAGGAGGCCCUGUAGGCCCACAGGCACACAGCGCAGGGUUAGGCCCGAAAGCCUGCAUUUGAGAGGAGCUCGAGAGGGAAGGCGCAGUAGCGCUUAUAAACCACUCUCGAGCUCUCUCAGCUAGCGAGGUGGGACUAAAGUUUUGGCGCGGGGCAGCACAAGGCCUUUGGUCCCGGUUGGUGCCAGCAAUCGGGACUAAAGGGGGCAUUGGUCUCGGUUCGUGGCACAAACCGGGACCAAUGCCCCCCCUUUAGUCCCAAUUGGUGCCACCAACCGGGACCAAAGGCCGCCGCUUCCCGCCCUUUGAGCUGCUGAAAAGAGGCAUUUGGUCCCGGUUGGUGACACCAACCGGGACUAAAGGGGGGCAUUGGUCNNNNNNNNNNNNNNNNNNNNNNNNNNNNNNNNNNNNNNNNNNNNNNNNNNNNNNNNNNNNNNNNNNNNNNNNNNNNNNNNNNNNNNNNNNNNNNNNNNNNNNNNNNNNNNNNNNNNNNNNNNNNNNNNNNNNNNNNNNNNNNNNNNNNNNNNNNNNNNNNNNNNNNNNNNNNNNNNNNNNNNNNNNNNNNNNNNNNNNNNNNNNNNNNNNNNNNNNNNNNNNNNNNNNNNNNNNNNNNNNNNNNNNNNNNNNNNNNNNNNNNNNNNNNNNNNNNNNNNNNNNNNNNNNNNNNNNNNNNNNNNNNNNNNNNNNNNNNNNNNNNNNNNNNNNNNNNNNNNNNNNNNNNNNNNNNNNNNNNNNNNNNNNNNNNNNNNNNNNNNNNNNNNNNNNNNNNNNNNNNNNNNNNNNNNNNNNNNNNNNNNNNNNNNNNNNNNNNNNNNNNNNNNNNNNNNNNNNNNNNNNNNNNNNNNNNNNNNNNNNNNNNNNNNNNNNNNNNNNNNNNNNNNNNNNNNNNNNNNNNNNNNNNNNNNNNNNNNNNNNNNNNNNNNNNNNNNNNNNNNNNNNNNNNNNNNNNNNNNNNNNNNNNNNNNNNNNNNNNNNNNNNNNNNNNNNNNNNNNNNNNNNNNNNNNNNNNNNNNNNNNNNNNNNNNNNNNNNNNNNNNNNNNNNNNNNNNNNNNNNNNNNNNNNNNNNNNNNNNNNNNNNNNNNNNNNNNNNNNNNNNNNNNNNNNNNNNNNNNNNNNNNNNNNNNNNNNNNNNNNNNNNNNNNNNNNNNNNNNNNNNNNNNNNNNNNNNNNNNNNNNNNNNNNNNNNNNNNNNNNNNNNNNNNNNNNNNNNNNNNNNNNNNNNNNNNNNNNNNNNNNNNNNNNNNNNNNNNNNNNNNNNNNNNNNNNNNNNNNNNNNNNNNNNNNNNNNNNNNNNNNNNNNNNNNNNNNNNNNNNNNNNNNNNNNNNNNNNNNNNNNNNNNNNNNNNNNNNNNNNNNNNNNNNNNNNNNNNNNNNNNNNNNNNNNNNNNNNNNNNNNNNNNNNNNNNNNNNNNNNNNNNNNNNNNNNNNNNNNNNNNNNNNNNNNNNNNNNNNNNNNNNNNNNNNNNNNNNNNNNNNNNNNNNNNNNNNNNNNNNNNNNNNNNNNNNNNNNNNNNNNNNNNNNNNNNNNNNNNNNNNNNNNNNNNNNNNNNNNNNNNNNNNNNNNNNNNNNNNNNNNNNNNNNNNNNNNNNNNNNNNNNNNNNNNNNNNNNNNNNNNNNNNNNNNNNNNNNNNNNNNNNNNNNNNNNNNNNNNNNNNNNNNNNNNNNNNNNNNNNNNNNNNNNNNNNNNNNNNNNNNNNNNNNNNNNNNNNNNNNNNNNNNNNNNNNNNNNNNNNNNNNNNNNNNNNNNNNNNNNNNNNNNNNNNNNNNNNNNNNNNNNNNNNNNNNNNNNNNNNNNNNNNNNNNNNNNNNNNNNNNNNNNNNNNNNNNNNNNNNNNNNNNNNNNNNNNNNNNNNNNNNNNNNNNNNNNNNNNNNNNNNNNNNNNNNNNNNNNNNNNNNNNNNNNNNNNNNNNNNNNNNNNNNNNNNNNNNNNNNNNNNNNNNNNNNNNNNNNNNNNNNNNNNNNNNNNNNNNNNNNNNNNNNNNNNNNNNNNNNNNNNNNNNNNNNNNNNNNNNNNNNNNNUGUGACGCGGGCUUCGACACCGACGACCACAUGUAUCUCACACCGACGAUACUUGCUAUUUAGGGUUUCCUCUACCGCUCGGCGACCCUCGACGACCCUCGUUCCCGAUAAAAAAAAGAGGAAGAAGAAGAAGAAGAAGAAGAAAGAGGAGAAGAAAGAAUAGAGUAGUUCUUCUCCUCUAUUCUUUCUUCUCCUAUUUUUUUUUCUUCUUCCUCUUCUUUUUUUUAUCCUUGAAGCAUUGUCGAGGCCACCCCAAACCCUACAGAAGCAGCGUCGAGGCCACCCCAAACCCUAGAGAAGCAGCAUCGAGGCCACUAAUUAAUAUUAGUUCUACAUUUGCCACUAAUAUAUCCAUCUGUCAUGUUUGAAUAAUAAUUGCCAUGUUGUAAAUAUUUGUAGAAACUAUGGACACUGCCCGAGACGAAGUACAAGAAGAGUUGUUGGGGGACAUAAUCGCACGAGGAAGUGAUGCCGUCUGCUCGUUGUUUCUCAACGACAUUGAUGGUCUAGAAGCAGCUGGCUAUGAUUAUGAUGGCUCCGGUGACCUAAUGCCGGUGCAAGAAGGAGACCGUGAGGACGGCUCCGGUGACCCAAUGCCGGUGCAAGAAGGAGACCGUGAUGACGUCUCCGGUGACCGAACCGAGUCCGGCUAGGUAUAUAUAUUAGUUAAGCUUGUGCUAACUAGCUAAUUGAUGCAUUCAUUGUUUUGGUAUGUACACAUAUUAAUUAAGUCGUUGUUCUUUUUUCUAGCCCUCCGGAUCGAUCACAACUUCGGUAAAGAGACGAGGCCCGAAGAAAAAGUUGAGCUCGAAUGAAAGGUUUGAGAUCAUAGCAAUCGCGCCCGACGGCCAACCGAUUGAACCCAUCCGGACAAAGAGCGCAUUUGUUGCUCAGUGCGGGGUUCUGGUUAGGGACAAGAUCCCGAUCAGCAUCCAGCAAUGGUUAAAGCCGGCUACAGAAGACCCUGAGGUGUCUUAUGUCAAUGAUAUGCAGAAAAAUGAUCUUUGGACUGAGCUGAAGUCAAAUUUCACCCUACCGCCAGAGGAUGAUCCGGAGAAGCCAGUUAAAGAGCAAUUAAUCAAGUCUUUUGCUCUUAAGAGGAUGGCAGAACUAUUCAGGAGGUGGAAGAAAGAGCUGAAUAAGUUUGUCGAAAAUAAAGAGACACCAGAAUUCAAGGGAAGAUAUGAGAAGAUCAGAGAUCACUGGCCCGCAUUUGUGGCCCACAAGACAUCAGAAAAGAGUAAGAAGAUGUCGGCGACAAACAAGCAAAAUGCUGCGAAGAAGAAGCAUCACCAUCGCACGGGGUCAGGUGGCUACCUCGCAGCCCGGCCUAAGUGGGCCAAGACUGAGAAUGAUCUAGUUGAUAAAGGGAUCGAACCAGAGACAAUUAACUGGCCAGACCAUUGCCGUACUUGGUUCUUCGGGGCUGGCGAAACCUUGAACCCUGUAUCAGGGAAGUGCAUUUGGACGGACGAGCAAAUGGAAAUACCAGUCAAGAGGCUUAAGCACUAUAUCGAAGCAGCGCAGCAAGGGACGUUCAUUCCAGAUAGAGAGAACGACGAGCUCACAAUGGCCCUCGGGAAUCCUGAGCACCCUGGACGGACACGAGGCACGCCAGGCUCCAUUCCGUGGAAGGCUGGGUUUCCGGACGCAGGCGGUUACAAAUGCCACGAGAGGAGGAAGAAAGUGGAGCAGACCUAAUUGUAGGCACUGCACGCUAGGGUACAAGCGAUAGAGGAACGAGAACCAAAUCGCAGCAAACGAACUGCCGAAGCUUCCCCCGAAGCUACCCCGCCAUCUCAGCGGAGAAGCAGCGUGGCUUCCACCGAGCUGCUUCAGCCGGAGCAUGUCUUGACGGCUCCUGCAAGCUAUCCCGUUGAUGCUAUCACGGAGUCUCGAAAUUGCCACCUUAUGACGCAAUGGUUUAAUAUGAAGGUCAAGGCGGCUGUUGGCUCUCUUUUUCCUACUGAAACCGGCGCAACUUUGUUGGGGAACGUAGUAAUUUCAAAAAAAUCCUACGCACACGCAAGAUCAUGGUGAUGCAUAGCAACGAGAGGGGAGAGUGCUGUCUAUGUACCCUCGUAGACCGGAAGCGGAAGCGUUAGCACAACGCGGUUGAUGUAGUCGUACGUCUUCACGGCCCGACCGAUCAAGCACCGAAACUACGGCACCUCCGAGUUCUAGCACACGUUCAGCUCGAUGAUGAAGCCCGGACUCCGAUCCAGCAAAGUGUCGGGGAUGAGUUCCGUCAGCACGACGGCAUGGUGACGGUCUUGAUGUUCUACCGUCGCAGGGCUUCUCCUAAGCACCGCUACAAUAUUAUCGAGGAUUAUGGUGGAGGGGGGCACCGCACACGGCUAAGAGAUCAAUGAUCAAUUAUUGUGUCUAUGGGGUGCUCCCUGCCCUCGUAUAUAAAGGAGUGGAGGAGGGGGCCGGCCAAGGAGGGUGGCGCGCCCUAGGCGGGAGUCCAACUCCCACAGGGAGUAGGACUCCCCUUUUUCCUAUUAGGAGUAGGAGAGGGAAGGAAGAGGAAGGAGGAAGGAAGGAAAGGGGGGCCGGCCCCCUCCCAAUUCGGAUUGGGCUUGGGGGGCGCGCCCCCUCCCUUGCUCCUUUCCCUUCCUUUCCACUAAGGCCCAAUAAGGCACAUAUACCUCCCGAGGGGUUCCGAUAACCUCCCGGCGAUCCGGUAUUGUCCCAAUCUCACCCGGAACCUUUCCGGUGUCCAAAUAUAGUCGUCCAAUAUAUUGAUCUUUAUGUCUCGACCAUUUCGAGACUCCUCGUCAAGUCUGUGAUCACAUCCGGGACUCCGAACAACCUUCGGUACAUCAAAAUAUAUAAACUCAUAAUGAAACUGUUAUCGUAACGUUAAGCGUGUGGACCCUACGGGUUUGAGAAAAAUGUAGACAUGACCGAGACACAUCUCCGGUCAAUAACCAAUAGCAGAACCUGGAUGCUCAUAUUGGUUCCUACAUAUUCUACGAAUAUCUUUAUCGGUCAGACCGCAUAACAACAUACGUUUGUUCCCUUUGUCAUCGGUAUGUUACUUGCCCGAGAUUCAAUCGUCGGUAUCUCAAUACCUAGUUCAAUCUCGUUACUGGCAAGUCUCUUUACUCGCUCUGUAAUACAUCAUCUUGCAACUAACUUAUUAGUUGCUUUGCUUGCAAGGCUUAAGUGAUGUGCAUUACCGAGAGGGCCCAGAGAUACCUCUCCGACAAUCGGAGUGACAAAUCCUAAUCUCGAAAUACGCCAACCUAACAUGUACCUUUGGAGACACCUGUAGAGAAACUUUAUAAUCACCCAGUUACGUUGUGAUGUUUGGUAGCACACAAAGUGUUCCUUUGGUAAACGGGAGUUGCAUAAUCUCAUAGUCAUAGGAACAUGUAUAAGUCAUGAAGAAAGCAAUAGCAACAUACUAAACGAUCGGGUGCUAAGCUAAUGGAAUGGGUCAUGUCAAUCACAUCAUUCUCCUAAUGAUGCGAUCCCGUUAAUCAAAUGACAACUCAUGUCUAUGGUUAGGAAACAUAACCAUCUUCCAUUAACAAGCUAGUCAAGUAGAGGCAUACUAGUGACACUUUGCUUGUCUAUGUAUUCACACAAGUAUUAUGUUUUCGGUUAAUACAAUUCUAGCAUGAAUAAUAAACAUUUAUCAUGAUAUAAGGAAAUAAAUAAUAACUUUAUUAUCGCCUCUAGGGCAUAUUUCCUUCAAACUUUUCACUGCCGGCCGAUUUCAGAAGGAUAUGAUAGGGUGAUGGUCGAUGAAAUAACGGAGGGAUUUGAGGACCUCCAGCUUGACCACCCUACCAGUGAAGGGGAGACUCGGUUGGGUUCUGCUCUGAAGACUCCAUGCCUAUGGCGGAAGGAGCUCAUCAACCUUCCGAACUGGAUGCCUCCGCCUCCUCCUCCUCCUCCGGCGAGUCAGGGCACUCCGCCUCCUCCACCGCCUCCUCCUCCGGCGAGUGACGAUCAGGGCACUCGGCCCGCUUCUUCUCCGGCGCGUGGUGGCACUCCGCCUCCUUCUCCGCCUGCGCCGGCGCGCCCGAGCAGCCAGCCUCCUCCUUCUCCGCCUCGUCAGCAAGGGCGGAAGAGAACCACCGCCGCUCCGGCUGCUCCGGCGCAUCGUAGUCCUUCUCCUCUGCCUCGUAAGCAAGUAAAGAAGACAACCGCUCCGUCUGCUCUGCCGGCGUCUAGCAGUACAGCCAAAGGCAGGAGGACAUACAGAUUCGGUCCUUCUCUGAAGACUCAAGAGAAGUUACCAUACGAGAGGACCCUGGAGGAGAACGCCGAGAUCGCGCGAGAAGAGGUGAGGAACUUCUUUGAAGGGGUGAAAGCAAAGAAACAUCCACCUCUCCAGAGGAGAAGGUAGAUCCGGUGAAAGCGAAGCGCACUCUGGAUGCCCUGAAAAACCACCCAAGUCUCCGCCGAAAGGCAACUAUGAGCGCAUUAUUGGAAAGGCAUUUGCCGAAGCGGAGCGGUCGGGAAGUACUGUCAGUGAUCAAAGGCUGAAAGAACGACGAGCUGGGAAACAAAUUGCCCAGCUCGACGAACAAGCGAAGCAAUCGUGCCCCCCGCUCAAGGUGCCUAGCGACAUCGUCGCUAAUGAUCCGAGGAUGGUGCCCGGUUAUAGCAAUCUUGGAGAUUACCUGCCCGACGAUGUACAUUAUGAUUUCAUGGAGGUGCAGAUACAAAGAUACGAGUACGGGAAGCCUCUCGUCAAAGAUGAAAGAUCUCUAUCAACGAUGAUGCGAAGAUUGCAUGAUUGGUACUUGAAAAUCUGCAGAGAGUCUGGGGGGAGGAGUACUUUGUAUGUGAGAGUUAAAAAGGAGCAUGACCUCAUUGGAAUUGAACUGUUGCCUGUUCCAUUUGAGGAGUUCUUUCAGUUUUUCAAUCAAUUAGCCCUUGAUAAAGCAACGGUCACCUGCUACUGUCUGUAAGUAGUACUACUUCUGUCAUUAAGUCUCUCUAUAUAGCUCAGCUCUUUCAUUGCAUGUAUUUAUAAUUAUCCUCACUAUAUUAUGCAGAUUGAAGAUCGUCGAAUUGAAGAAAAGACAAAUCGGUGAUAUUGGGUUCAUUAACACAAAUCUCAUAGAUGCAACUCAGGUUAAAUUUCAUGCCGCAGAUACCGAGGCCAACUUGCUACGAUCGUUGGUAAUAAAUGGAAACAAAAAUAUAAUACUCUUUUCUUACAAUUUCAAGUGAGUGUUACUGUCUUGUGCAUAUUCGGUUUCCCUUAUAUAUUAGUCAAGGUUAUAGUAAUGUAAUUGAUGAGUUAUGCAUGCGUGUGUAGUUUCCACUAUAUUCUCCUAGAGAUUAAGCUUGAGUAGGGACUAGUAACCGUCUUAGACUCGAGACGAAAAGAUCCCCAGGACUAUGCGGACAUGACUCAAAUGCUUGAGAAGUAAGUUAAAUCGAUCAUUAUCCACCAUAUCAGCAACUUUGUUCAUUUCCUGAUAUAUCAAGUAAUUGUUUUUUUUGUCUGGCAGGGUUUAGAGAAAAUUCACCAAAAAAGCUCCGGGACUGCCGAAGAAGCUGCAAUUUAGACACCCGAAAGUAAGUACUAUAGUAGCAUGUUCCGCGCAUCUCCUAGUGAUUCAAGCGCUAGUUUCAUCAAUACCAUUUGGCAUUCUUGCUUAUCAGUUUGAUUGACCUCUAUUUCUUGUAAAGUGGUUGUGGCAGGAACAAGGGAAUGAUUUCUGUGGAUACUACGUUUGCGAGUCCAUCCGCCACACGACCUAUGAGCGGGGCUACUCUGACGAACAAUAUGAAGUGCGUAAAUAACAACAUUCAUAAUUUUUUUUAUUACCAUCAUUUGUGUUGAGUUUCAUUCAUUCAUAUAUAUAUGUAUUGACCUCCUUUUUCAAAUUAGAUGUUUCGGAAGCGGGAUGAACUCCUAGCACCAGCUCGCAUGCGAGCAAUUCAAGAGGAAUUGGCGGCAUUCUUUCUUGACCACGUGAUCGCUGAAGACGGAGAAUACUAUGUGGACCAUGCAUCCGUAUGUUAGGAGAUUAUAUUUGUAAGAGAUAAUUAUUGUAUAUAUGUAGCCGGUAGUGUCGGAUAGAUAUACGAGAACUUGUUGUUCGACCAAUCUCUCAGAGAAGGAGAGGUGGUCGAUAUCACUUCUCUCUGUAUGCAUAUAUGUUCAUGAUGAUCUUCUGUUUCCUUCGUUUGCUUACUAGCUAGCUAGCGUGUCUAGGCCUCUCUGUACGUAUGAAUAGUAGGUACCGUCGAUCAAGCACGGACAUAAGAGAGGACACUUCUCUCUAUUAAUUAUAGCUAGCUAACACAAUAUAUGAAACACCUAAAUUAACCCCCCAAAACNNNNNNNNNNNNNNNNNNNNNNNNNNNNNNNNNNNNNNNNNNNNNNNNNNNNNNNNNNNNNNNNNNNNNNNNNNNNNNNNNNNNNNNNNNNNNNNNNNNNNNNNNNNNNNNNNNNNNNNNNNNNNNNNNNNNNNNNNNNNNNNNNNNNNNNNNNNNNNNNNNNNNNNNNNNNNNNNNNNNNNNNNNNNNNNNNNNNNNNNNNNNNNNNNNNNNNNNNNNNNNNNNNNNNNNNNNNNNNNNNNNNNNNNNNNNNNNNNNNNNNNNNNNNNNNNNNNNNNNNNNNNNNNNNNNNNNNNNNNNNNNNNNNNNNNNNNNNNNNNNNNNNNNNNNNNNNNNNNNNNNNNNNNNNNNNNNNNNNNNNNNNNNNNNNNNNNNNNNNNNNNNNNNNNNNNNNNNNNNNNNNNNNNNNNNNNAAAAACAAAAACCCCAGCCACAGAAAUGCUGACGCGUGGAUGCCUAUUGGUCCCGAUUGGUGCCACCAACCGGGACCAAAGGCCCUCCUGCCUGGGCUCCGCGUACAGGCCACGUGGAGGCCCAUCAGUCCCGGUUCUGGAUUGAACCGGGACUAAAGAGACAGGGCAUUAGUACCGACCCUUUAGUCCUGGUUCAGGAAUCGGGACAAAAGGCCCUUACGAACCGGGACAAUAGGCUCGUUUUCUACUAGUGGUAGUUUAUUUUGUGUUUAGAUGAUCAAAAGACUUUGGUUGCUGUGGCUAGAUCCUUAGAUCUCGUCUGGUCUGUAAUGAGCAAUGCUACACAGCCGAUGAUUUUGCGGACGAUGCAUGGACGACAUAGGGUAAUAAUUGUUGGAUUGAAUCCCUCCAUACCUAAGCAAUGUCAGAUCCUACCAUCGUCCACCUGUCGUGCAUAAAAAGUCGUGUGUGCAGCUAUUCCGGUCUGUAAUAAAGUAGACGUAUUUAGCUUUGUGCUUUUGCCAGUUUGCCUUAGGGGGACAGUUCGUAGUGCUUUGGUCGUUCUUUACUAUUUGUAGAUGUUGAUGGUGUCUUGAACUUCUAGUUGUGUAAUCGUUUGAACCUGAUGCUAGUUUCUUUAAUGGAAAUCGGAAGGGACGGGCCCUUCUUUUAUCAAAAAAACUAAUAAAAGAAAAGAUUCACCUGUUUCUUCCUUUUAUUUGGCAAUGAGCUGCUCGUAUGUCAUUUGACCACCAAAAUUUGGACGCUCCUACCGCAUCUGAGCAUCUUGAAUUCCUAAAGCUAUUAGAUUUUUUUGAAAAAAAAUGCUGUUUUUUCACAUUUAUUGUUCACUACGAGCAUACGAGUCUUCAUCCUAAAGGAUAUGACCUCAGGUGCGGAUUACGGAUUACUCAACUAGAGGUCAGUUUUUCCUCAUGACGAUGUAUUAAUUCUAUAUAUCAUUCUGAUGACCAACCUAAUUAAACUACUCUCUGUUAGUUCAUAGUCAUAGUUUGAGGUCUCAUUUGGUUCGUAUGAUAGAAAUAUUAUAGGAACUGAAAAUAAUGAGAUGACAUAUAUAUCUCAAUUUUUAUAGGAAAAGAGAUGUCAUUUGACGCAUACGAUAGAAAAAAUUCAUUGAGUCUAGGUUAAUGUUUUUUCCUUUAAAAUAUGAAGAAAAAUAGUUCUAUCCUAUAUAGGAACAGAAAUCCAUUCCUACAAACCAAAAGAACACAAACGAUUUCUUCCCUAACAAAAUUGCUAUCCUUUAGAACCCUAUAUACCUAAGAGAGAGUUGCCCACUAACUUAUUUAUCUCAACAUGUAAGCAAUGCCACCUCAUCAUAUAAUUAUAAGUAGGAUAAGGCCCACCUCAACAUGCAAUCAUGCAUAGAGAAAGACUCAUCACACCAUUCAACCAUGCAUGAAAAAAUAUUUUCUAUUCAAUUAUUCUACUUAUAUUCAAUAAAUAUUUUUACAAAUAUACAUAAUCAAACAUAAUAAGUUAUGUGUAUUUUAAAUUAUGAUUCCCAAGUUAGCAACCUAACUUUUCAUCAACCAAGACAAUAUGUUUUUGUAAUUGUGCUUUCCUAGAAGAAGAAAAAAGGCACGGUAUGUGCUUUCCGAAAAAAGAAAAGCACAGUUGUGUUUCCCGAAAAAAAUACAGAUUACUAGUAGUUCACAUGAUUGGAAUAUGGCUCCCGUAUGCAUGCUAUUCUGGGACUGAGGAAUGCCUUUCUAUGGUGGACCCUGAGGUCGGACUCUUGCUGCUUGAUUUUCGAUCGAACGGGAUUUGGGCACGGUUCAAAAUACAGAACGCUCUAGAGAACAUGCGAUCAUUUGGGCACGGUUAAGAGAAAUUUUACCAAAUCCUAGUCAACAUCAGCCACAGCCGCGCCCCCGCCGUGGUGAUGGACACGCGAGCAUUUCGUGUCCUGCCAACCUCAUGCCCUCCUAAAUCCACGCUAACCAUUACCAGACCCCCAGCCCGCAGCACAAAUACACGGACGAGCAUGGGCAGAGCAGAGCAGAGCCAAGCACGCGAGCUCUCACCAGCACGGCACGACCGGCGCUCCGUCCUCCCUGGCCAUGGCUCGCGCGCACGGCGCAUUCCUGCUGCAGCUGCUGGCCGCGGGCCUGCAGGUCGUCGCGCUCGCGGCGACCAUCACAGUCACACAGACGGACGACCCGCGGUGCCGGCCGAGCCUGCCGCGGCGGGGCGCCAUCGCGGUGUACCCGAGCGACAUGGAGCAGCUGCAGUUCCUGCUCAACCCCAAGUUCGUGGAGGCGGAGUGGUUCCUCCACGCCGCGCUGGGCCGCGGCAUCGACUACCUCGACCGCAACCUCUCGGCGGGCGGCCCGGCCCCCGUCGGCCCGCGCAAGGCCAGCCUCGACUUCCGCACCACCGAGAUCGCCGCGGAGCUCGGGUACCAGGAGGUGGGCCACAUCAGGGCCAUCACGCAGGCCAACGGCGGGUUCCCGCGCCCGCCCAUCGACCUCAGCGCCGACCGCUUCGCCGCCAUCAUGGACGACGCCCUGGGCGCGCGCCUCGACCCGCCCUUCGACGCCUACAACGGCACCGUCAACUUCCUCCUCGCCUCCUACAUCCUGCCCCACGUCACCGCCGCCGCCGCCGUCGGCAUCAGCCCCAACCUCAUGGGCUACGCCUCCAAGCGCCUCCACGCCAGCGUCCUGGCGGUGGAGGCCGGGCAGGACGCGGUGAUCAGGAUGCUGCUGUACCAGCGCGCCGACGAGACGGUGGCGCCCUACAAGGGGCGCACGGUGGCCGAGUUCACGCGCCGGAUCUCCGACUGGCGCAACGAGCUGUCCGGCUGCGGCGCCAAGGACGAGGGGGUCAAGGUGCUGGACCGGCAUCAGGGCGCGGAGCGACGCACCAUCAGCAACAUCCUCGGCGCCGGCGUGGACUCGCUCGGGUACCAGCGCACCCCGGCGGAGGCGCUGCGCAUCCUCUACGGCUCGCGCAACGAGCAGGUCCCCGGCGGGUUCCUGCCCCGGGGCGCCAACGGCACCAUCGCCAGAGGAUUUGUCCAGCUCGCAUAGAUGUCGCUGCAGCUCGAGGACUCAGCCGGUGCUUCCAUUCCACCUCUUUCGUGCUACCCAUGGACUGAAACAGGCACAAUAAAAACAUUGCGAUCUAUAUUUUGAAAAGAAAAUUUGUCUCGAGACCAAAUUCAGUUUACAGCUCGAGAAACAAAAUGCCAGGUGUGAGUCGGAACUUUAUACAAAACUGAAAUGGGAUUUUGCACAGAGAUUCAUAGGGAUUUUUAUUUAUUUAUUUUGGUUAAUCAAAUAGUGUGGGAAUAGAUGAGACUUCGUUAAUUCUCAUCUAGAUGAGAAUGAGCAAAUCUGAAUUAAAAUCUGUUACGAAUAGUACGUCGUUAGCACUACUCAUACUCUUUUUUUUUUUGAAACGAGACAAAAGAUUUGCCAUUUUUAUUGAUUAAGAAGAAGAGAAUUGCCCGGUUAAUUGACGGAAAACCGGGCUAAAAUCGAUACAGCACAACCCACAUGACAUGGGCACCACCGGCCAACCUGGCCACCGACAUGAAACAGAAGCCACGCCGGCACAUGCCAACAGAUGGCCACACGCGCAAGCAACCGACAGCUCCGACUUUGACGACGAGCAACACAGGGGAAAUAUGCAGGACUUGCGCCGACCGUGCCCAAAAGAGCACCUCGAACACCAAGACCACGCCGCGACCCAAGCUCCUCUCGACGCCAUCAUCGUUGCCAAACAGACACCAGCGCCCCGCCUCAGCAAACCACGCGGUGAAGAUGCCGCCAUCGACGGCAAAGAUGCCAUCAUCCUCCAGUCUCUCAGUCGUAGCCGGCUCCGAGACGAUGCCUCCAAGGAGAAGAAAGACACGAAGACUCCUCCAUCGCCCGAUCCAACGAAUCUGAGGUUUCCCUCCGGAGCCCAAGCUGUGGGGAGAAGGAGCAACUCCACGGCGACGCUUCCAAGAAAGAUCACGGCACCCGCGGGCGCCGCCGUCGCCGGCUUCGGUGAAGACCGGAGCAAGGAUUUCUCCCGGCUACUCAUACUCUGAUUUGUCAUUGUUUGUUCCUUAUAUGCUGUGGAUCAAGUUUCAAAUGAAAUGUUGGGUCAUCUUAACUCUUAAGGACAUCUGGUAUCAAUAUCGUCAAACAAAUUCUGACUUUCUUCUGCAAGUUUCUUGUUUUAGUAUUAUUAUGCUUAGAUAGCAGCAAGCGCCAUAAGAUAGCUGCAGCCUGCGAGAGCAUCGUGUUGCCAUGGUCAGAGCCGAACAACUCCAGCCUGAUUGGUGUUUCAUUUUCAGUUCAUAUAAGAUCUCAUGAAGAACCACCACGCCAUCUAAACAGGUUGGGCUUACAACAUCAUCAGAUACCGAAGCGGAAAAUUGCACGGUUCCGUCUCGUACCGGCAGAUCUCCGGCCGUCCAUUGCGUUUUAAAGAUUAGUGUAGCACUGUGUAGUACUCUUCGUUUCUAAAUAUUUAUCUUUUUAGAGCAAAAUGAGUGAACUUACACUCUAAAAUAUGUCUAUAUACAUCUGUAUGUGGUGAUCAUUUGAAAUCUGUAGAAAGACAAAUAUUUAGGGACGAAGAGAGCAUAAAAAACAAAACAUUAUGUUCUCAUGAAUACAUAGUUAUACAACAUGCAAAAAGGAUACACAGGUCCCAUCAAAGUCAGCUUUUUAUCAGAUGACACUUGCAUGCAUGUACUAUACAUUCCCUCUUUCUCUCUCUCCUCAUGUUGGAUGUUUAUCUUAAGUCUUCCUCAUGACCAUCAAAGUCUUCUGUCAGAUGUACUUGCAUGCAUUUUAUCAUCGCCCUCCUCAUGAUCAGAUUUUUCAUGCUACGAGUUCACCAUCUUUCAAAUAAUUGAAUCAAAUAGCCGAGAAAAAAAAUUGUAUCGUGAUCAACCUUGCUCUGAAUACCACUUGAUGCGAUCGUCGACAGAAAAUCGAUGGUAUAAUUAAUUUGCCCAAUCUUUCAUGGUACGGUGUCACCUGAAACAGUGUGGCGCUCGCGAUCUUGUAGAUGCAAUCACCACCAAAACAACACGCACACCCAAAAGAGGAAGUACGUGGACGAUCUUCACCAGAUCAGCAGAAAUUGAAACUCUAGAAUCAAUCUCAAACCAAAAUCACAUAGCCUCAAAAGCUAUCAACAAAUAUUCUGCGGCGGCCUGAAGAUACCCCGACUUGCUAAUCUAUCCAUCGAUGCAAAAUAGCCAAAAGAAAACUACCCCUACACGGCCGGCCGGCCAGCCCUUUAUAUAGGUGAUAAAAACUGUACCGACUUAAACAAGGAAAGACACAUACGGACUCUCUCUCCCCUAUCGUAACAAAUCAAAUCUCAACUAAUUUAAGUAUCCGGCCAUGUUGAACACAAAAGUCGAAAACGGACUAGUACUUUGACAACCACGUGCAUGCUCCCUUGUGAAUCCUUAUAGUGUUGCUUCAAAAAUAGUUGGACGCAAUAUUUCUGAUCGUGCCUUGAUUGCAUGGUGUUCGAAAGGUAGGCUUCACUUCUUUCUUCGGAAUAAUAUGAAAUUUUAUCCUGCCAAUCUGUAGUACUUGUACCUUCGAAGCUAAACAUGGCAUGGUCGUAUUUUGUUUAUGCAUAGAACUGAAAGUAACCAUUUGAUUUCUUUUGUCACGGCGCUUAGCUGAUAUGACAUACUUCUCCAUUAACGAAACAUCAGUGUCCGUAGACAAUGUCGCAUCAUAGUGAGUCCAUGGCGAUGACAAACAGCACGGAGAAACUAGGUCACCUUGUCGUAACCGUUUAGCAUGGUGGAUGCACCUUCCCGGGGCGCCAUUAAAGAUGACCUUGGUGCUGGAAGUUUGAAGGAGAAUAGCAAUCCAUCUCAUCCACCCAGGUCCAAAGCCCUUGGAUCUCAUGAUCUCAAAUAAAAACAGCCAGGAAAAGGCAUCGAAUGCUUUAGUAAUGUCCAGUUUCAGAAAGACUCUCGGUUCCUUCUUGAUAUGUAUUUUCUGAGCCACCUGCCGGACCAACAGAAAAUUAUCAUGCAGAUUUCUACCCUUUAUAAAUGCGGACUGAUUAAUGUCUACAAUGUCUGGCAUUCGUUUCCUCACCUGCGAUGCUAGCAAAUUCACAAACAACUUGGAGAAGCUGUGUGGCAAACUUAUUGGGCGAAAAUCAAACACUUCGUGUGUGUCUACCUUCUUGGGGAUCAGAACUAUGUGUGCGCGGUUGAGUUUGUGGGAUCCCCUGCCAUCCCCAACGAACAGCUGAAGUAAGGCGGCCAUGAUGUCUCCUUUAAUGAUUGGCCACGCUUUGUGAUAAACGCACCAAUGAAUUCGUCGGGCCCUGGUGCUCUGUCCGCUGAAAUUUAUCUAAUGACUCUCCAUACUUCUUCCCUGAAGAUCUGAUCUAGGUCGCCCAGGUCAUGGGAUUGAAUGCCAAGGUACUCCAGGUUUAGGGUCUCGUUCCUUGCUGGCACAACUCCCAGCAAGUUUUUGAAUGUUGUGAAAACACCUCUUCCAUCCGUGUUUGAUCAGUAAUGAUCUCCACCCCUGAUGUGAUGCUGGAUAUGAAGUUUUUUGCCCUCCUGCUGUUCGCCAUUGCUUGGAAGAGUUUAGAGUUAGCAUCACCAUCCUUGAGCCACCUCAGCCUAGAUCUUUGCCUAUCAAUGAUACACUCCAAGCUAGCCAGCCCCGGCAGCGAUAACUUGAGCGUUCUCCUCAGCCGUAGUUCAAGGAGGUUAGGCUCCUGUUUUCUUGGGCCUUACCAAAACCGAAUAUCACCUAGUUAGCCACCUUCCUGAGCAGCUUGAUGUUUCAUGUCUGCCUCUGCCCCCAUGCCUACAGGUAACUCGGCAUGUUCCUGAACUGUGUAUCUAACCUUUUAAAAGGAUCGACGAUGGAAUCAUCGCAAGCCCAAGCUGCACUAAUGGCCUCCCCAAAGCCAUCGAGUUUCGUCCAGUAUAGCUCAAAACGGAAGUGGUGUGCUUCGUACUAUAGUUGAUGCUAGUCAAGAGGUGGAGUAGCGCAUGAUCCGAGGGACUAGUUGAAAAGGCGUGAAGAACAUACUUCGGGUGGGCCAGUUCCCAUUCCAACAAAACCAAGACACAGUCGAUCUUGGUUAGCCUAGGAGUUUCUCGCUCGUUAGACCACGUGAAUGUACGUCCAUGCAUGUACAAUUCUUUGAGCUCGUGGUCGUCAACAAAGUUCUGAAAUUUGGUGAUCACACUUCUGUUGAGAUUAGCAUUAUUCUUCUCUGAGGCCCGCAAGAUCAUGUUAAAGUCUCCUAAGACGACCCAAGGCCCUGGGCAGGCCAAUCCCCUAGCAUACAGCUCAGUGAGGAAUUAUGUUUUCAGUUCAUUCCCUUGUGGUUCGUAAACUACCGAGAUCCACCAUGAGCUGCCGUUCUUGAGGUGCACCUGGCCAGUAAUGAAGUAUGUCAUAACAUGUGAUCAAAGUUAGCCUUGAAAAACGUAUUUAGCCCUAUGUAUAUAAAUAGAGAAAGUACCAAAUUUUAAUAUGAAGAAAGAUUUUUUUCAGACACCCAAGAGCUUCGUGCGUCAUUGCAUUAUUAGAACGGAAAACAACGUACAAGAGGUGUUCCGCCGAUGGCGGCCAACACAACGGCUAUGGUGAGGGAUUGGUCGGUCCUACACCCUUAGUCAAUACAACGCCAAUAAGAACACCAUCGUUGUCCAAAAAGAAAAACGAACACACCCAGGUUAUCUUAAACUCAAAUGAUAAGUGUCACAUGUUAGGUGUGUAGCACUCCGGUCCUAUUGUUUUUCGAUAGCUAUUCCAGUCACGUAAGGAUGAUGAUUUUUAGUGAUAGACGGCAAGUUUUUUGUCAGAAAAAAAACUAAAACAUGAAAGUUGUCAUGCUUGGCAACUAAAGUUGCCAUCCUCGCGCCAGUAAACUUGCCAUCGAAAACUUUGGAAGUUGUUGUGUGCUCGUACCUAACGUGUGACACUUAUCAGGUUCCAUCUUAAAAUGCCGCACAACCCUUUUCCCGUCUUCGUCCAUAGAUCGCCCUCGAUCAUGAUCGCAGUGUUUGAGCUGAUGAAUCGUCCUUGACGAGGCUUGGAAGACUAUGUCGUUGCGCUCGAGCCAUAGCAUGAAGACGACGAAGCGCAAAUGUGACAAAGUCCCACUAAGGUUGCUUCGGUAGGUGUCGGCGUGGCAGACCACCAUUCCGCCAGCUCCCCGCCCUUUGGCAUCCGCCCAAGCAGCAUCGUCCCAGGGCCGAGGUCCAAACGGCAAGGAGUACGUGCAUCCUACCAUGAGGUGACCAGAAGUCUUCUGCUUCAUGCCACAGAGGGAACACAUCAUGUGAUUUGCAAGGCCAUGGCGAUGUCUUCUAUCGACGGUCCAUAGACGGAUGUGGAUCACGAGCCAGACUCCAUUUAGAGCAUCUCUAGCAGGUCCCACAAAAACGCCUCCAACAAAACUAGUUCGUGGUUACCCCUAAAACCGAUUUAGGGUACCGUGCGGCAUCUGGAAGAAAACAUUUUCUCCUCUCAAUGGCCCAAACAGCCGCCACCACUGGGACGCACACGGAUGAACGAACUCCAACUCAAACAAUGUCGUCAACCAAAAGAACUGAAGCUUCAAAAAUAAAGUGAAUUCUGCACAUUUAGUUGAAUUGUUGAACUAAAGAGUUAGUUCAAUCAAAUGAACUAAAGUUGAAUUCCGAACAUUUAGUUGAAUAUAAUUGAUCUAAAGAGGGUCCGCUCAGGGUUCCAGUAUUCCACACAGUUGACAAGCUGGGGCCAAAGGUUCCACAACAACUCCAACCAUGAAGUCAACCCCAAAAGAAGCAAAAUCAGAGGUUGCAAACAUCUUCCAACUUUAAACAGAGAGCAUUUUAUCAGAUAACAUUUAAGAUAACCGGAUGAGGUCUCGAAAUAGCACUUAAUAAGAUAAACAUCCACAUUACAUCUAGAGGCAACCACGAGUUCGCAAAUCAACAAACAUCAGGCAAAACUUAAAAACGAUGGUUCCAGGAACAUAGUUCUAUAUCCUUGCAGAUAACUGGCUAUAGCAAAACGACUCAACGCCUCAGAAUCAGGCCUUGGCAGCAGCCUGGGCAGCGGCAUCCCGCUUCCUCUGCUCCUCAAUGAUGGUGAGCUUGAUACCCUUGCCCUUGGGGAGGCUCACCCAUGGCUUG
rnacentral:lncRNA from 1 species